rnacentral:lncRNA from 1 species
AUACGAGACACACGGCACUCAAACAAUCAUAUUGUUGGCAUUAGCUCUAAAACCUAUCACCCAUGGCGAAGUGUCAGAAGCACGUGAGCAUCCAAGCACUUUGGCUUCUUUCCAUGGUUCUUCUGGCAUCCUCAGUUGUUUAUGCACGCACAAUAAAUGGUUACUAAUGAAUUGUACCCAUUCCUUUUUUUGACACAAAUACAUCUACGUACAGUGAUGAUUCUGACAAAAUUAUAUGUAACUCUCGAUUUUUUAGGGCAAACCAAAGAGGACAUCAACACCAGGAGUGUGACGAUGAUGACAAGGUCAGCAAGCUCCAUAAUUGGUAGUGGCGAACAUCCAUUGAGAGGUACAUGCGUUGAGACACAUAAUGGAUGGUGGUUGUGCGGAAAAAUGCAGUUCAGGAAAUAUCAGGACUGCGCAGCGUAUUGCAGCAAGCACUUUGUUGGGAAUUCGGACUAAUAAGUGCUCUGUUAUCUAAUGGUAUUAUUCUUGAAGCCCUGGUGAACGAUGUAACACUAUCCUCAAAUCAAUAAAGUGUGCCAGAUCCAGAUGGUUUCUCUAAAAAAAAACUAUGGAAUUUUGCUCCGAUGGUCCUAUACAUGAAAACUGCACAAAUCUUAAAGCAUCCAAUAUAUUAGUUUAAUUAAUUUCGAGCUAGGUAUUAUCUAGCUAAAUCCUACCCUGACCCAGACCAAGCCCACCAAUUGCUUUGGAUCUCAUCCUCUGAUCCGACCACACAUGGAUCAGUAAAUUUUUCAUUUUGAUUGACUCAUGCGUAUGUGCCUUCUCAGCCGCCUUCUUGGGUUGCUCCCUAGUGCGGUGCAGAUGAUUUUGCUCGAGAAAUGGCAGCCGUUCAUGCUCAGAGCAUAUAUAUAUGAGAUGACAGUAUAUGGCCAGCAAUGCCAACGUCGAGUGCAGCACGUUAAUUAAUGGUCCGUUCGCUUGAGCUUAUAUACCAAAUCUAUCAGUCAUUUAACACUAUUUUUCUCUCACAAUAAAUCAGUGAAUAGUAACAAUCUCAUAGAUAUUUUUGCGAGCACCCAUCUGGUUGGGUGCUCCCAAAAACCUCGUGCCGUCCAUGCCAGUGAUUAUAUAUGCCUAGACUUUUUGGAGAAGAAGCUUGGGAAACAAAGCAGAAACGGAUGGCAACCGAGCAAGGCCAUGGUCAUUAAGGAUGGCGUCUAAGACGAUACCUAUCUAUGAACAAGAAGAACCGAUUGAUGAAGCAGCACACCAAAAACAUGCAUGCUUCUGCAUAUAUAGGAACGGAUCAGAAUAUCUAGUAGCGAAGAGGCUUGAACUCGAUGGCCUCGAUGAGAUGAGGCCGCGCUUCGGGUACCACCCCAGCACCUCGAAGCUCACCACCACCUUCUCUCCCUCUUCCCGUUCGUCGCCGCACACAUCACCAUUCACCCACCCCCAUCUCCAUCUACCACCACCCGUCCCCACGCAGCCUCGGCUGCCUCGGCGGUGGCUGCACCAUGCGGAUUCGCAUUAAGAUGUGUGUUUACACACUUCUCAAUGCAAAUCCAGUGGUAGAGAGAGUGGGAGCAUAUGCCCCUUGAGGGCAAAAAUAACUUUCCCUGCACCUCCACCUCGGCUCUAGCAGCUGCGGCAACAACAGCUCUGAACUGUUGGAAACCGAGCUUAGGAUCGCUCGGCGUCCCCGAUCGAAUCACCGGCGGCAGCACAGCCCUAGAGUGGUGACCACGCCCAACGAACCAGAAAGAAAGAACGCAACAAACACGUGAGGUUUCCUGCCCAACUUGGCGCAACUUUUCUGGGAUUAUUGUUCGGUUUACAUAAGCUUUAAGUGUUCCACCCCGCCUCCACGAUAGUCCUUAUUUUCCGGAACACCAUGGGACAUGCACUGGGCAAUGUCGCGACAGGGCCACACACUAGAGAUCUCAUGAAACACAGGAUUUUUGGCCAACUCAAUAGCCGACUGGUUAUCAACUAUAAGUCUGAAUUUCUGAACUUCACCUCCAACAAGCUCUACUAUCAGCCGACUUAGCCACACCCUCUGAUCGACAUGCUCCCAAAGCUGCAGCAAUAUACUCAACUUCACAAGAUGAUAAUGCAACCACCCGUUGUUUCUGUGAAGCCCAUGUCACCAGAUUAGAACCAAGAUAGAAGAUUAUCCCAGAAGUGCUCUUUCUGUGAACCAAGUCAUCUGAGCAAUCACUGUCAGUAUACCCCCAACCCCAACAGGUUGAGACCUAUUCCUUCUCUCUAAAACUUGCAACCAUAGUCUAAGUGUGCCAGCAAUGUACCUGCAAUUCUUUUGACUACAGCCCAAUGUUCCUUGGCUGGUGCUUCCAUGAAUCUGCUAGCAAUACCAACUGCAUAAGCUUGUCAGGUCCUGUAAUCAUCAAGUACCUCAAACUCUCAAUGAUACUUCUGUAUCUGGUAGCAUCAAGUUCAGUACCAGGUUUUGCAGUAGCAAGCUUCACUCUCUGCUCCAUUGGAGUAUCCACAGGAUUACACCUUGUCAUGUAUUAUACACUUCUAAAUGCUAACAUGACAUUGAUUGCUUCCUGUGUAACAUGGAUGAAAUAUUCGAAGCUCGUUAGCUCGCUUGGCUAGUGGUUGGCUCGGCUCAUGGUCGGCUCAUCACGUUAUCAUAACAAGCCGAGCCGAGCCAAGAUUUUAGUUUAUUAGUUAUAAUGAGUCAAAUCGAGUCAGCUCGCGAGCCAAACCAGCUACAAUUUUAGAAAAAAAUUAUCAUAACUUAUAUAAGUUUUGUAUUAUUUCAUAUUUUACAUUUACAAAUAGUUGAUAUGUUAGUUCAUAUGAAUAUUUUAUUUGAUUUAAAACUAUUGAAUAUAUUAUUUUUUAUAUUAUUAAUAUUUUUAAGCUUUAUUAGAUAAAUACAAAUAUUAUAUUUUCUGUACUUUUUAUACCUGGCUCUCGAGCUUAACGAGUCAGCUCGAGCUCGUAACGAGCCGAGAGUUGAGCCAGCUUUCUAGUUUGUUGAGAUAACGAGCUAAGCCAAGCUAGCUUGUUAUCUUAACAAGAGCUAGAUUGAAUUGAGCCAUAAAAAGGAUAUUCAAAUCAGAGGAAUAAAAAUUGCAAAAAGGAUAAGGCAAACACCUGAGAUUACCAGGGCUCAGGCGCGGGUUCCGUCUCGCCCGACUCCUUGGCCUCAGGCGCAAGCUCCGGCUCGCCCGACCCCUUGGCCUCGGACGCAAGUUCCGCCUCGCCUGACCCCUCUUGGGCUCGGGCGCAAACACCGCCUCGCCCGAGCCCCUAUAUCGGAGCCAGGCUUCCAACGCAUAUGAACGUACCCUCGAUGUGACGCUCGCCAUAUCCCCCAUGCUGCGACAGGGCGUGAUGGCAACUAUUGCAUCCACUCCAGUCACUGUGUAACCUUACCUCUUCCACUGUGAAGUAUUGCCUCACAGUAAAAGAGGUAUGGAAGAAAUUAACCCUUGUCACUGUGGCUGUCUUUUCCUCCUGUUACAGGACACGCUGCAGUAUCACCGACCCGACCCCCACGACCUCAACAGAGCUAAGCAACUCUCCACAGGAGCGACCAUGCUGCCAGCCAUCCCCUGAGGACGAGAUGGGCAAGCCUCCAUAGGGUCGGAACUAUUGCUUCACCAUUUACCAGAGAUAGAUCGCCAGUCAGCAUAUGUAAAAACCCUGGGCACGCAUCCAAAACCAAGACACAACAUUAGAACACAAGGCAAGACCACACACUCCAGAGUAGCAAGCACUGCUGUGUCCACCACACAAAGUCGAGACUUAGGACUUAGCCCUCUCUCGCAAUCACAGGCUCCGACUCUCACACUGGACGUAGGGCAUACUUAGCCCGAACCAGUAUAAUUUCCUGUGUUCCACUUGCAUCACUAUCCGGGUUUAGGAGGACACGCAGACUUAUUACUCGUUAGUGUCUGGACGACGAGUCUAGACACCGAUUCCAGCGUUACCUGUGUGGGAUGCAGAGCUGCAGUAAAAUGGCUGCCUCCGGGCGGCGAUGGUGUGCGUCAGCCAGGUAGCGAUUGAAGACAGACAAGAUUGACGAAGUCCUCUCGAUAUCGAUGGCAUGAUUGAUGAGUUUGCAAGUACAAUGUCACCUGUACGUCGGACCGGAGGAGCAGACGGCUGAUUGCAAAUAAAUUGGACUAAGCAACCAUAGAGAUACUCCAUUAGGCAACCAUAGAUAGAUAGAUAGAUACUAAUUCAACGCAAAGGCUAACACCGACUAAACGUAAAGGUUUUUACUCGAGUUCGAUCUUGAGGGCCGUUAACCGUCGAGUUCCAGCAUAUACCAAAGUCCGAACAACUGUCCGAGUAGCAUGUAAUAGGCUAUCAAUGGUAAAACAUCCAUAACUGGCAACUCAGGAUUCUCCAUAUACCAAGAUUCAAGAGCUAAUUGACGAAUAUGAAGAAGCUAUUAGUCACCCAACGAAGAACAAGAAUGCCUUCGAAAAAUCCUAAUCAAUGACCUUACGAAUGCAAGGUGGACAAAUCCACUCGAAACAACCGGUCAGGACAGGUUCGUAGAAACAAGACAACCAGAAUCAACGAAAAUAUGCUUCUGAGAGAUUGGGACCGGCUGGAAGCAGCAAAAAAGGAAGACAAGAUGGCAGAACCAAAAAAAGGAACAGUCUUGAAUUUGCCAUAUGGUAAAAGGAAACACACGGUAAUCACACAACCAGAGAUUAUCGUAUCUUCGUUGAUAAAUAUACAAGGAAAAAUAACAAGGGAGAAAAAGAAGAAGAUGACCAGAAAAAGAAAAAGAGGAUCAAGGACCCGAAUAAAAGCAAACAGGCUGACUAAAUCUAUGCUCAUCCUAUCCCAGGUUAUUCAAUCCGGAUGAGAAUAAACAGGCGAACUGAGCCUACACUCGCCCCAUCCCAAGUGUUUUCACACUCGGAUGAAAGUAAACAUACACUCAUCCUAUCCCAUGAUGACUGUUCCCAUCGUGGAUGAGAGCAAAACAAGCUAUGAAAGCUUACACGCCCUAUCCUGAGUUUUAGCAAAUUUGGAUGAGAGAACCCGACUGAUCUAGCGCCGAUGCUUGCCAAGACUCAUGAAGUCACAAACCCUAUCCCGAGGUUAUUCAACCAGGAUAAGAGUAUAUAGGCAAACUAAGCAUACACUCACCCUAUCCUAGGUGUCUUCACACUUGGAUGCAUGAAAGUAAACAUACACUCGCCCGAUCUCAUGACUGUUCCCGGUGUGGAUGAGAGCAAAGCAAGCUAACAAAGAUGAUGCUCACCCUAUACCGAGUUUUAGCAAAUUCGCAUAAGAGAACCCGACUGAUCUAGUGCCGAUGCUCACCAAGACUCAUGAAGUCGUAGACCCUAUCCUGGGUUAUUCAACCCGGAUGAGACUAAUAAGGCUAACUAAGCCUACUCUCGUCCUAUCCCAGGUUAUUCAACCCGGAUGAGAGUAAAUAGGCAAACUAAGCCUACACUCACUUUAUCUCAUGUUAUUCAAACUGGAUGAGAGCAAAAGGCUUCAAAGGCCAAUGCCCACCAUAUCACGUGACUGUCCCUAGCAAGGAUGAGAGCAAAACAUGCUACAAAAGUUGACGCUCGCCUUAUCCCUGUUUUAGCAAAUUUGGAUGAAAGAACCCGACCGAUUUAGUGCCGAUGCUCAACAAGACUCAUAAAGUCGCACAAAGCAGCGUACGAUAAAAGAAGGAACAUAGCUCUAAGUACAAGGGUACAUCUAGGUGCUACACUCACUGAGAUAGAAAAGACAUAUAUUAAAAGCACUAGCUACCUGAGUAUACUAUAAAGGACCCUCUAUCCAAGUUCUUUCUACAAAAGAACCUAGAUAUAAGCUCGAAGGCUGCAGGGUAUAUAACUAUAUAUCCUCAAGAAAAUAUUUUCAGUUUCUCAACCUAGGAUUUAAAGACCCUCUAACUUUUUGUUCCAAAUAGCAAGAGGAGUGCAUUUUUUUUCUAAAAAGUGCACACCACUUGAAGCUUGUUUCUACUCGGCAAGACCCGAAGGAACAAGAAGGGGCUUCUAAGAUCAUCCAUACAAUACUCGGGGGCUUGUCAGUACUAUGUACUGGGGUAGUGUAAGAAAGAGAGAAGAUCUAGUCUGACUAGGAUUUCUCCCAUGUAACUCUAGUAACAUUGCUAUUCUGUAAUCCUAUUAGGACUCCUCUCUUGUAACCAACUAGGAAUCCUAUCUCUUGGACUAUAUAAAGAAGGACACAACUUUCUUGAUCGGGACCUCACCCCGUGUAACACAAUGAUAUCAUAUGUAACACCCAAAAUUUGAUUUCCAAAUUAAUAGGAUUUAAUUUGAUUUAAUUAAGUAUUUUUGUGAGCAUUUAAAUUUAGCACUUAAAUAAUUUUUGUGGAAAAUAAAAUUUAUCAUAAGUUUAGAAAUAUGGUUGUGCAUUCAUGCUGGAGUAGGGUAUUCUUGGUGCUGGUGUUUUGUUUUUAUUUUAUCUAUUUUGCUCAAAAGUUUCCUUGGAAAAAAAGAAUUGAAAAAGAAAAAAAAAAGAAGCCUCAGCCAGCGCAGUAGCAGGAGAACUGGCCCAGCGUUCCCCGCGGCCCAGUGCCCCUCUCCCGUUUUCCCCCUCGCGCGGCCCAGCUCCAACUCGCCCCACUGCGCGCGGCCCAGCAAGCAGCCAGCGCGGCUCCCCGGCCCAGGCACGUGCGCCCUGCCCCUUCCAGUCGCUGACACACUGGCCCCACGCGGCAGCGUCCCACUCCUCCUUUCCAUCUUCUUCCCCAACCGUGAAGGACUGGGACUCUACCGAUGGAGAGCGCCUUCGUCCCGGAUUCCACGGGAUACGGUUUCUUUUCCAAAUCGCAGCUAUUUGAGGCCCCGGCUCUCUCUCCGUGUUUCCGUUUCGUCGCCGUGGAGCCCUAGCCAAUGUCGUAAGCCCCAGUCGGGAUCUCAUCGUGGAGCAGAUCGCGCCGUCGCCGUGGUCGUCACCUCGUGCUGCGCAAAUAUCGUCGACAAACUGUGUGCCGAGCUUGGCAGCAAGGUGACGGAACCUCCGAGCUUUUUCCCGUGUCCUCUCUCAAUUCCAGAAGCCCGUGCGGCCUCGCCGAGCACUGUAGGGGAGCUCUCGUCCGCCAUUGCACGCUGCGCGCUCUCCCCGAGAUCAAUCCGAGCCCUGAAAACCCCUAGGUGAGUUCGCUUGAGUCCCCUCUUCGUUCCUGUGCCCUUGGUUUGGAGUUUGGCCCACCGUAGUGCGCGUUCCACAUCUCCGACGGUGCCCCGGCCAUGGUGCCGCCGCGGGAUGCCUGUUCCGGCGAGGCGGCCGACCGGCAUCUUCCCCAGGCGCAAUCUCGACCGUCCAUUCCUAAUCCGAAAGCCCGGGUCGGCCGAUACCCUUUCGGCUGUAAAGUUUGCUAAAGAGCCCGUGUAUUCCUUCAUUUUUGAACCCGCAGUCCAAAGCGGCUUUGCGGUUUUACGCGUUCGGAAGUUGAAAACGUAUUUUCGAUCGGUUUAGUUCAAAGUAUGCUUUCCAAAAGUUACCGUUAUGCCACUGAUCUUGUUUUGCUCAUAACAUGCUCAUUUUAAAUCCAAUUUGGUCCAUUCAAAUUUUGUUAGGUUCGUAUUUACGAGCUCUACAUGUUAGAAGUAUUAUUUCACUGUUUUGAAACUUUUUGAUUUCGUAGUACUAUUUAAUUAAUUAUUAUUCUAUAGAAAAUCUUAGAAAAUUCAUAACUUCCUCGUUUUAAUUUCGAUUUUUGUGAACUUUACGUUUAUGUGAUCGUAGCGCUGCGUAGAAUAUUUUGAUAAACUUUUAUAUUUGUUUUGCUACUGUUUGGUGUAUUGUUCUAAUAAUAGCUUGUUUGCUUCGUGUAUAGACGGUGAGCAAUACGUUGGUGAUCAAGGUCAAUCUUUUGAAGACCAGCAGCAAGCUCAGGAGAGCUUUGAUCAAGGCAAGUAUAACUGGGGAUCAUCCUUGUUACCUAUACACAAUUAAUACAAUAUAUAUCAUAUGCAUGUGUCCACCUUGAUGACCUUAGCAAAAUCAUAGAUGAUUGUUAUCCUGAAUUCCUUGUUACCGGAUAUGCAUUUGGGUAGUUCUUGCUAGUGCUUGAUUAAUAAUCCAUGAUCUUGUAACAUGAAUGUUUGGAUGUACAAUAAACAAUAAAAUAAGUUUUCUAGCAACUUGAAUAUAAAGGGUGGAAAGAACUCUAGCUUUCGCUAGAUUGAUCUUGACCCUCCAUAAGGACUUAUCCCUUGGCAAAAGCUGGGACAACUCGUACAACCAUGAGGGCUACAUGGCUCUGGUUUUAGCUCAGUAUGAGGACCUUUUUCUAGCUUGUUAGCGGUUACCUUAAAUGGCGUAAGAAUGGCUAGACACGUUGGGUAUAGUGUGGCCUCUGUCCAUGUGUAUAGGCUGCGGGUUAUGUGCCAUGGAAGGGGGGCUCUAUAUCUGCCUGCCGAGUGAAUCUAAUGACCCUAACUUGUUAGACGAAACCUUUGAAAGGCUUCAUAGUGAACCCUGCCGACCUCCCUAGGAAGGGGGUUAAGAGACUUGCAACCUCGGGCGAAAGGGUAAAUCACGACUCAUGGGUAAAGAUGUACAACCUCUGCAGAGUGUUAAAUCUGGUAUACUAGCCGUGCCCACGGAUAUGGGCGACCCGGAAAACUGACGGAAUAGAUGGACACUGAUGAACAUGAUUAAUGAUGAUAAAUGAUGGUUUAUUAUGUUGUUUAUAUGUGUUAUUCUUAAUUCUUGUAUACAUUGAUCAUGUGGUUAUGGGGUUAAUUAUGCUACCUUGAUAUUUGCUAUCCAAUGAUUAAACAUGCUAUCCACUAUUAAAAGCUAAAUGCAGUCAAAAAAGUGUCAACUAUUUGAGCCUCAUGAACCUCUGGUUAUACUUGUUGAGUACGAUAUGUGCUCACUCUUGCAAUUUCCCCCUCACCUCAGGAGAAGUUUUGGGCUUGUGAUCAACCAGUCAGUUGGAUCCUGUGGAGAGAAGUUAAUACCCGAAGUUUGGAGUUGUCUAUCCGUUGUUUGCUAUCAAAGGUUAUAUCUUUUAUAUUAAGUACGUUAUAUAUUUACACAUUGUCUUUUGAUAUGACCCCUUAUUUGUAGCUAUAUGUGAGAUUUGGUUUCUAAAACUCACAUAUGGUGCAUAUCUGGUUUUGUCCUUAAAAUCGGAUAUUACAUCAUACAAUCAAUCCAACACAAAGGCUCACACUCACUAGACGUAAAGGUUUUUACUCGAGUUUGAUCUCGAGGGCCCGAACCAGAAUAAAUCGACUGUCUCUUGCAUUAAUCGUCGAGUUCCGGCAUAUGCCAAAGUCCAAACAACUAUCCUGGGUACCUAAUGAUAGGCUAUCACUGAUAAAACAUCGAUAGGUGUCUAGACCAAACACAAGCAUCGAUCAUAAAAUAUGUGCAGUGGUAUGAAUGUAUCAGCAAGUGUCGAAACCUGAUAUUUGAUUUUAAUAUUAUAAUUUUUAUUGUUUUCUAUAUUUAUGACUAGAAUAUAUUUUUUGAAUGCUGGUGCAUAGUCUUACAUUGAACUGACGGUUAAAAAUUUAUUUUUGUUUAAAUAAUAUUGGAAGUAUCGAGACAUUGUGAUAGACAACCAUUAGAUAGAUAGACGAUAGAUAUAUAGAUAUAGGUAGAUAUACUUGGAUAGACAGAUAGAUAGACACAUAGAUGUAUAAAUAGACGGAACAGAUGAAUAGACGAACGGAUAGAUAGAUAGAUAGAUAGAUAGAUAGAUAGAUAGAUAGAUAGAUAGAUAGAUAGAUAGAUAGAUAGAUAGACUGAUUAAUAGAUAGAUUGCUAGAUGGCUUAAUUAAUUGAUUGAUUUUUACUAUGGAGUGUGUAUAUAUAUUGUUGUCCAUAUGACAUACGAGGCACACUACACUCAAACAAUCAUAUUGUUGGCAUUAGCUCUUACCUAAAACCAAUGGCGAAGUGCGAGAGGCAAGUGAGCAUCCAAGGACUUUGGCUGCUUUCCAUUGUUCUUUUGGCAUCCUCAGUUGUUUGUGCAGGCACAAUAGAUGGUAAUCAAUGAAUUAUACCCAUUGUCUUUUGACGCAAAUACAUACACAUAUAGUGUUCAUUCUGACAAAAUUGCAUGUAAUUUGAUUGACCUUUAUUAGGGCAAACUAAUAAAGAGGACAUCAACGCUAGGAGUGUGACGAUGGCCACGUCAAGGUCAGCAAGCUACAUAGUUGGUAGUGAUGGAGGUCGUAUGAGAGGUUCAUGUACUAAGAGAUCUGAUGGAUGGUGGUGGUGCGGAAGGCUCCGCUUUAAGACAGAGAUGCAGUGUGAAGAGCAUUGCACGUUGCACUUUGUUGGAAAGGACCAAUAAUUGUUUUGUUAUCUAAUCAUGCUUGUACCAAUGGAUCAACUAUAAGCUAACNNNNNNNNNNNNNNNNNNNNNNNNNNNNNNNNNNNNNNNNNNNNNNNNNNNNNNNNNNNNNNNNNNNNNNNNNNNNNNNNNNNNNNNNNNNNNNNNNNNNCUUCUAAUGGUUGAUUUAGAAUGGCACAUACUCUUGCUGAACUCCACAAUUUUUUCUCAUCUCUAGGGAACUACAGAAAGCUACCGGCAAUUUCACAACAUUAUUAGGUCAAGGAGCCUUCGGUCCUGUUUACAGAGCAGAAAUGUCUUCUGGUGAGAUAUUGGCUGUUAAAGUGCUUUCGAACAAUUCAAAGCAAGGUGAAAAGGAGUUUCAAAAUGAGGUAAGCUAAUAUUUGUACACCUGUAUUGUUAGAUUUGGAUCCAAUCCUCACUAGAAAUUUGGCAUGCUUAGUGUUUGAUUAAUUCUUGACUUCAGGUCUUACUUCUUGGGCGAUUGCACCACAGGAAUCUGGUGAAUUUGGUUGGCUAUUGUGCUGACAAAGGGCAACAUAUGUUAUUGUAUGCAUACAUGCCUAAUGGGAGCCUUGCAUCACACUUAUAUGGCAUGUCUUCUCUUUAUGUGAUCCUGUGUUUCUCUCUCAUGAUAGUAAUUAUUAUGGCUUAUCCAUGAUUGUUUAGGGGUAACCUCUGUGAUAUAACUCAAGAAAUUCAGUAAGGUUGAAUUUUAAGAUAAUUCGAAGGGAUAUGUCAUAGCUGGACUGAUAAUCUUCUGAUGAAAGAUAAUAGGAUAUACUUAAAUUACAACUAAGAUUUUUUAUCAGGCGUGUAAUGCAUUAAUGUGUCAAAAUUUGAGGCUUUAUAUCUUGAACCAUGGAAAUGCUAGGUUACUGAUAAACAUUACCACCAUUCCAGCUGCUUUUAUCUGAAUACCGACAUGGUCUCAUUAUUCUUGUAUCAAUUAAGUCCACGAAUGCUGCUUUUAGUCAUUGAUGUUUAGUUAGCACACCAUAUUCUUGAAAAAAAGAAAUGGAAUAAAUAUACUCAUUAGUGCAUCUUAUGUAAAAGUUUGUUUUUGAAGUCAGCAUCUAACACUUUACCUGUACAAUAUUGUAUCCGUUUUUUAGCUAACUGAACGUUCUUUUUGUUGUUCAGGUGAAAACAGUGCACCACUGAAGUGGGAUUUAAGAGUGAACAUAGCUCUGGAUGUUGCUAGGGGUUUGGAGUACUUGCAUGAUGGGGUAAGCUCUUGUAAUGCAGAAUUCGUAGCAUGGGUGCAUGGCACAUAAUGCAUAGUGCUUGAUCUGGUUUCACUUAUAUGCAGGCUGUUCCUCCAGUAGUCCACCGUGACAUCAAAUCUCCUAACAUUUUGCUGGACCAAGCAAUGCAUGCUAGGGUAUGUUAAUCAUCUCUCUGAUAUCUUAUCGUUCAACCUAUCUUUCCUGAUACUCCAUGGCUUCCUGGCAAGUAUUGCUAGGACCCAUUUUUCUUUUAGAAGAAAGAAAAAGAAAGGAAGGACCCUGUUGGGUUCACAUAUACACCAGAAUUUCCUGCAAAUCACUGUCUGUAUCUGUUGCAUUUUGUCUAGAAGUUCUGCUCUCAGAUGUAAAUAACCUUUUGUGGCCAGGUUGCUGACUUUGGAUUAUCUAGAGAGGAAAUGGUUACUCGCAACGGAGCCAAUAUACGAGGAACUUAUGGAUAUCUUGAUCCAGAGUAUGUAUCCACACGAUCAUUCACAAAGAAGAGUGACGUGUACAGCUAUGGUGUUUUGCUAUUCGAACUGAUUGCUGGCAGAAAUCCACAACAGGGUCUAAUGGAAUAUGUUGAGCUUGUAAGCCGCCAUGCCCCUUGCUCUAAGUAGGUUUUGGUUUGAGGAUAUUAGCUUCUCCAGAUGCUGAUUACAUUGCAUUGUACCACAGGCUGCAAUCAAUGCUGAUGCGAAAACUGGGUGGGAAGAAAUUGCAGAUUCUCGGUUAGAAGGCGCAUUUGACAUGGAGGAGCUCAAUGACAUGUCUGCUGUUGCCUACAGAUGUGUAAGCCGCGUGUCCCGGAAGCGCCCGGCGAUGCGAGAUGUGGUCCAGGCUCUGACCCGUGUGUUGAAGCGCAGCCGCAGCAGGAAGCACCACAGCAACAGGCAUCCACAGGCAAGGCCAGACGAUGAAUCUGUCGACCUGGAGGGUUCCGAGGUUCAGUCGUCCUUCUCUGGUCUUCAGAGAGAGGAGUCAGUUGGCAGCAUUUCAGAUCUGCCAGAAGUCUGACCGAAGUUAACUGAAUUUUCCAGUUCUUGGCUCAGUUUCUUGGUCUGAGCAAUUUUUUUGUUUUGUUGAUAUAAAAGUUGCACAAUGAUCAAGGAUGGAUUAUUGGAUAGAGAUGCAGUUUUGAGUAGUAAGGGUGGGUAACUUGGUGUGAAGUCAAUUGUAACUGUGUUGUAUAGAAUGCAUUGUGACUACGUGAUAUAUAGAAGCUGAUUGUUACCAUCCCCUUUGCCAUUGCCUUACUCAGUCAGGAGAUCAGGAGGCGCACAACUGUACUUUUCUUGGCAAUUUGGAUUUGCUACAAUUUUUAAUUCGACAGGGUCCUAACUAGAUCAUUGUCCAUCAACUUAAUGCAGAUUUCUUUAUGUUAUAUUUAAGUACUCCCGAACUGUGAUUUGCUUAUUACCCAUGGGGCUGCUGGGAUUUGUAACCUCGUCUGAAACAUAAUAGUGAUGUUAACCUUGGGAAUCAGGGUUUGUUUACUUUAUUUUGUAAUAAUGAUUUAGAAUUUGGCAGCUGACAUGUGGGCCCAUGAAGAAGCUAAAUAUUUGGAGGUUCUGGUGUCUGACUGGUGGGUCCAAUAAAUUCAGCAACCGAAGAACAGCAGCUCUGUCAGCUGUCCAUAAAGAAUGACAGGUGACAGUCAAGUCAUUCAUUCUUACGGCAGGUAUUCAGCGCAAAAUGCUCAAACGAGGCUAUACGUUGUGCUGAAGAAGCUCACGGAAAAAUGUUUUUGUUAAGUGCAAAAACUGGAUAAUGAUGUUUUCGAGCAUACAACGGAAAUUACUGUGGACAUUGACACAAACUUUCACAUGUUUUUCUCAGCAAUAGCAACAAAUCAAACAACAAGCAUAUAUUUUCCUUUUAGUUUGACUCUGGUACAAGAGAGAACCGCAUGCUUGUAAAAGCCAAAUCACAAAGCAGAAAAGGACGAAGCAGCUGAAACAAGGAAAGAAUAGUGAUCGUCUCUUGGGCAAAAGCAUUAUAUUAUACUUUGCCGCUCGACUAAGGAACUUCGUGCGCUGCGGCAGUGGCGGUGACAUAAUAGGCGACCGUGAUACCACCAUGGACGAAGCACAUGAUCCCUCCAAGGCCCAAAGUGUGGCCUUGAGUGAACCGGCAUGAUGUCUGGGACUUGGAGUUGGACAUGGCACCGGCGAGCAGCAGCGAGAAUCCAGCAAUCAGGGCAAUCCUAGCAAGUUGCAGAGCAAUUGCAAUUAGCACUGAUAAAUAAAUUUCCUGUUAGCAGGGUUGUUUCUUGUGCAGUAUUUGUGCGUCUUGACAGUCACCGUGAUUAGGCUCAAAUCAAACAGGGUGGUAUUAAAUAUUCUGUCUAGAGGUCCAUCUCGCUGAUUUGCAAAGGAAUUGUACAGACAAGUGAAGUUACCAUGAGAGAAUGAUGGUAGUGGCUGCCAGUUUCCUGUUAAUGGAAGCCUUGAUGAACUCCAGCUGAGAGCAGAUACAGGCACAGCCACCAAGGAAGUUGGCUAUCGCAUGGGCAACUACCAGAAGCACUGCAGCUGCAAGGCCAAGUUGGUAUGCUCUGUAAACUGGUUUCUCGCAUUGGAUGAAGAGAAUUGUCACCUUUUUAACCUGUAGAAAUAUAGUAUCAAAUACAAUACCAACAAUAUCAGUCACCAAUUAUAUAAUCAGAGACCAUCAAGCUAAAAUACCAACUGUGCAUGAUGAAGCAAAAUCAUACAUUUUCAAAAUCCCUGUGAUUUGGGUAAAAAAAAUACCAAUAUCUUGAAACAUUACCUUGUUUUGAGCAGCCUGUGCCUCAAUUCCUAGUAUGCCAGCUGUGACAUCCAGGGCUAAAACCACUAUGCAGACCAGAAUAGCAGCUCCCAUCUUCGCCAUUGUAGCGUGCUCUCAGACUUCUGCCAGCUGAGAAGAUUAUUGGAGGAAGAUCACCUGCUUACAAUGGCCUUGUGAGCUGCGACCUGUUUUAUGGCUGAUUGGUGAAUAAAUAGAGGCAAAAGUACAGCAGGGUAUUUGUUCUCCAACUAGGAUGCAGAUGAAGCAUGAAGAAACUAGCUGUCUCAAGAUGCUCAAAGUAUUAUACUUCCCUUUGAUCCUUUGUUACAUCAGAGCUUUAUUCCUUCCUUACAGGACACAAUUAAAGAUUGGUAUCUCCAAUGCGAAAGCCACACAACACAUAUUCAGCCUACUUUUAAAGAUCUGCUUUUACACAAGGGUUGUAAAGCUAGUGAAAACACAGGGAAAAACAGUCUAUCUGAUUGUGCUAAAAAAACAUUUCUAUUGAACACAUCACAACAGCCAUCUUUUCUACAGAGAUAAAGGCACACAAGAUGUUGCUUACCAAAAUAAAGGCACAAAAUUUUUUGCCGACAGUUAGAUACUUAGAUGGAAAAGGAAAGGGGCAAAUGGACACAUCCAUGUGAGUGAAACUUGUAGAUUACUCUUUCAACAUCUUAAGAAAUAAAGAACUCCAAACUUACCAAGCCUGCAUGUAGCACAGAUACUGAAGCAUCAUGGUCGACCAAUCUGCUUUACCCUCAUUAAUCAAAGUAAUGUCCAGAGAAUUGGCUUGAAACAUCUGGAGUCAUUAGCUGUCAGCAAAAUGUGUAUUAGCUUCUGCAGCACAUGCACUUUUUUUCCAUGUGCUAAACAAAGCAUAUUUGGUCAGAAAAUAAACUAGGUCACAUUCUGGAUGAAAUAUAUACUGUUUCACAUCUGGUAAUCCGUAAAGUGAAAAAGGACACUACUGCUGGUCAAUCUCAUAACCCUUUCUCAGUUUAGUUGUCAGAAAAUAAAACCAUUAGAAAGUUGGACAUACCCAAUUACCAGUAGUCACCACAAGAGCAGAUCCCGAGUUUGAAGUGGUGGAACCUGCUACCAUCCCUUACAACAAUUUCCCUCUUGGUAACUUCUGCCACAAACUUAAUUACCUUGUGGCAGUCACGGCAUAAACGAUGGCUUUGAUUGAUCCUCAAGGGAGUCUGUGGAGCUGUGCUCAUAAGGCCAAAAGCAAUUGCUAGUCUCUCACUGUGGUAAGCACUUGAUACCUUUUGCUCGUCAGGAUAAAUAUCAGGGAGCAACUCAUUCUCCUCAGCAACAUAGCCAGCUUCUCGUACAUCCUUCAUUAAUGUAUGUAGCCUCCUGUAUAUUUCAGCACUUUGUGGAUGCAAAGUAUCUUUAAAGAAAAACUUGUGAUCCGUUUUCUUGACUGUGAUCCAGGUACAGGCGUUAUGAAUAUAUAAACCUUUCCUCUUCAAUGUUUCAACUACCUUGCAGGCAUCGUCCUGUCUACCAGAGCUAACAUACAAGUUGAGGAGCACAGCAUAGCUGUUUAUUUUCUCAGGUUCCAUUGCCAAUAGCUGCUCGGCAGCUAAUUUCGCAAGAUGCAUGUUCUUAUGGAUCCUGCUAGCUGUAAGCAAGGCCCCCCACAUGUUUGCAGUUGGGGUGAAUGGUGCUCUUCUUAUCAUUGAAUAGGCUUCAUCAAGUAGGCCUUCUCUACCAAAAAGCUCAAUAACACAAGCAUAAUGCAUAGCCCGUGGUUUCAUCCUCAGAUUUUCAGUCAUCAACUGGAAAAUCCUCUUCCCUUUGUCAACAAGACCUGAAAACCUACACGCAUUCAGCACUGCCAGAAAUGUCACAUGGUUUGGCACAACACCCUCAGCUAUCAGCCUCUCAAACAUCUCGAUCGCCUUAUCCCCCAUGCCAUGGUAGCCAUAUCCAGCAAUCAGAGCGUUCCAUGAGAUCAAGUUCCUCCUAGGCAUCCUCUCAAAGACAUUCCUCGCGUCCUCCAUCCUUCCCCACUUGCAAUACAAGUCCACAAGUGCCGUGUUCCCAACAAUGUCCAGUGGCAAUCCCCUCUGGAUCAAGCCAGCGUGCGCCUGCUUCGCGUGCUCCAGCAGCCCCAACCUAGAGAACACCCCUAGCAUGGUCGAGAACGUGAACUGGUCCAUGGCGACACGACUCCUGCACAUCUCCUGGUACAGCUCCAGCGCCUCCUCGCUGCGUCCAUGGAGCACAUACGCCGCCAGCAUGGAGUUCCACGCCACGACGCUCGCCCGUGGCAGCCCGUCAAACACCCGCCUCGCCUCAUCAAUCAAGCCGCACUUGCUAUACAUGUCAAGCAGCGCACACGCCAGGUACCGGUCAGCGACGUCACCGCACGCCCCUGCCUUGACAACGCAGCAGUGCAGCUGCUGCCCAGCUCGUGCCGACCCUGAGGCUGUAGCGGCGCGGAGAGCCACCACGAGGGACCUCGGUGGCGGCGCGUCCCCGUCCCCACCGGCCUCCUCCGCCAGCAGCAUCUCCCGGAACAGCGCCAGCGCGGCGCGGGGUUGGCCCCGGUCGACGAGGCCGCCCAUCAUGAUCCCCCAGGUGACGCCGUUCCUGUCGGGCAUCCCGUCGAACGCCCGGCGCGCCUCGGCGAGCAUCCCGCACUCGAGGUACGUCCGCAGGACGUGGUUGUGCGUGUACAGGUCGAGGUCGAAGCCCGAGCUCUCGACGUGCCAGGCCACCGCCGCCGCCGCGCCGGGCUCCCGCAGCGCGGCGGCGGCGAGCAGCAGCGCGUGGUAGGUGCGCGCCGGGAGCGGCGUGAAGGGAAACCCCGCGCGGGCGAGGCGGAACAGGUGGAGCGCCUCGGCGUGCCGGCCCGCCGCCGCGUGCCGCUCGAUGGUGGUGCAGAGGGCGGGCAGGUGGGCGGGGUUGGGCCUGGGCCUGCGCGCGGGGACGGGGCUCUGGCGCGGGAGGCGCGGGCGGGGCUUGAGUGGCUCCGUGGAAGAGGAGGAGCAGGAGGUGGAGGGCGCGGCGGUGGCAGUGGAGGUGGAGGCGGCCUUGGGGCGGUGGGCGAGGAGGCGGAGGUUGGUGAGGGGCGGUGGCGCGAGCUGCAGGUCCAUGGCGAGCCCAAGUGGUGGGGGGUUUUCCUUGGGUUUUGCGGAUUAGGCUCCGCAGGUGAAGGUGGAGAGGACGAGCAGUGAGCCCCGUCAGUACAGUUUCCUGACAUGUCGAGCCCACUUCGCAGGGACUCAUUUGAAGGUUGGUUGACGAGGACUGCGCGCGGUGGUUUGUUUGGCCGCCGUAUUUCUAAGUUUUCAAUUUCAACAAGGCUGUCCAUAAAUAAUUAAAUAAGUGUACAUCUCGUUUCUCGAGGAGUUAAACAUUUUUUAGUUUAACUAAAUAUAUAUAUAAAUAUAUUAAUAUUUAUCAUAUUUAAGUAUAUAUCAUUAGAUUGAGCAUGAAACAUACUUUCAUAAUAUACUUAUUUGUAAAUACAAAUAUUGAUAUUAUUUGAUAUAUUUCUAAUCAAACUUAAAAAAAAUUGACUCCUUAGGAAGCGAGAUGUGCAUUUAUUUGUGCACGGAGGUAGUAGAUCUUAAACUAAGGGGUGUUUAAUUAGUUCCCUUUCGCCUCAAAAUAUUCUGGGUUUUGGUUUAUCAUUUUAUAUAAUGAAACUAAACACUAUUCAAAAAUUUUGGCAAAAAGGGUCAUUCUCAUUUUGAAUUUUGGUCUCAAGAGACAAAAAAAAAACACCCAAAAGAGUCUCAAAAGAUCCUCAUGAGCACAAUAAAUUAUGCAUUUUGGAUGGAACUAAACAUAAUCCUAAAAAGUUUACUAUUUAACAUUCUAUCAUUCCAAAGUAGUUAGCAUAAAAAUGCAGGCUACACUGAUUAGGAUCCUAGAAUCACACCCUUGUAAAGCUGUAAAAUUAAUGCUAUGUUUAUUUUAAAUUACGAUGUUUUGGCUUUUUCGGAUAAAUAGAUUUGUAUGUUUUAGUUUUUUAGAUAAAUAUGUUUUGCUCUACAUUAAGAGAUUCCUAAUAAAUAAGAAAAUCAACGUAUUUAGAAAAACCAAAACAUCUUAUAAUUUAAAAAAGGAGAAGUAAAUUCUAACAACUAGUUUUAGGAUCAAUUGGACUAAUAUGGUUUGGUAGCUAGUAUAUAAGGUAUUUAGUCUUAUAUGGAUGGAUGUAAGGAUAGACUUGGACAAAGGCCCAUGUGAAUAUCAAGUGAUUAGGAGAAGCGUGAGCCCCUUGAACCUUUUGAUACCUCGAGGAAAGUACCAUCAUCGAGAGUUUGCACACUCUAUCUCGUUUAAGCUUCCAAUUGCUUUCCCAGAUUAAGUGCUUUACACUUUCUACUCUAGCUUGCUAGGUUAAUUGAUAGUAUAUAAAUCUAGAGUGUGCAAAACUCUUUGACGUUAGUUGAUAGCAUGAUAUCACCUCACCAAUCUUGAGUAAUUUAUUGUUUUAAUUAGAGAGAGAGGCCCGUGCGUUUUAUUAAGUUAAUUAUAUGUAUGUAUUAUUUCUGCAAAACACAUUUGAUAGUGUCGGAAAAAAAAAAAGAGAUGAGGUCCAUUGACCGUGAACUCCUCCUUACCUGAACGUGUAGGAGAACCAGUUGGCAAUGAUGUAAAACAAGAUCUUUCUGGGUUUAUCUCAUCCAUGCUCCCAUUGUCUGCGUGUUUCCUGCAAAACAUCAUAAGGGGCUGUUUGGUUUGGAGGUACUAAAGUUUAAUAGGUACUUAGCACAUUUGUAAUUAUAAUAAUUAGUAUCUAAUCAUAGAUUAAUCAAGCUUAAAAAUCAUCUCAUAAAUUAUUUUGUAGCUGUGUUUUUAGUUUCGUAAAUAGUUUAUAUUUAAUACUCCCUCCAUUCCAAAUUAUAGACGUUUAUCCCAAGUUUGAUCACUCGUCUUAGUCAAAAAAAUUUGUGCAAAUAUAGUCAAAUUUAAGUCAUUCGUGAAGAACUUUGAUUAACAAACCAAGCCACGACAAAAAAAAAUAUUUUGCACAAAUUUUUGAAUAAGACGGGUGAUCAAAAUUAGUGUCAAAAAAAGUCAAAUUUCUUAUAAUUUAGGAUGGAUUGAGUACUUCAUCAUAUAUGUGUCUAAAUAUUCAAUAUGAUAGAGACUAAAGUUUACCGUUUUUGAACCAAACAGGGCCUAAAACCCAAAGCCAAUGGUCUGCCGUUAUGGUUAGCUGUUACGUGCCGGUACGGCAUUUUACAUACCGUUACGAUUCCUUAGUCGUUUGCCCUCGCCAUGCAUUGCCGAUCCACUAGGAGCAUGCAAAUGCUCUCCAACGUAUGAAUCCAUGUGCGAUAGAUAUGACCGCCGACGUCAAACAUGGUAGCUGAAAGGUGAGUUCCGUCCACGGUCCGGGUCCUCAUCACGUGACUACAUGAGGCCAAGUCUUAUUGAUUUACAUAUAGUCCUAUAUUAUAAGUUCGUUAAUGAUGGACAUAUAAUGUAUGCACACGUUUAAUCAUGCAAAGCUAAUGACUGGACCAUGUCGACAUCCUUGAACACUACUCCCUUCGUCUCAAAAUAGAUGGCGUUAUGUGCCAGUCAAACUUUCUCAACUUUAACUAAGUUUGUAUAAAAUUCGUGUAUACUAAUUCUGUAUUAUAAAUAUUUAUAUUCUUAUAUAUAACUGGUCAAAAUUAAAAAAAAAAGUUGACUUCUCGAAAAGUGAGAAUGAGAGGGAGUACGACAUUCCAUCUCUCCGUGCCCCUGUAUGUUCACCUCCAUAUGCACAUGCACGCAACAAUUGCUCAACCAUCAAACUAACUAGGCAAUCAUUUCCAUCCAUUGAUUUCUUCAAGAACAGCUAGCUAGCAGCGGCUGUCGAAUUAAGCUGAUGGCGAGGGCACAAGCAUCAAUGAUCGCCGUGGUCGCGAUCAUUUCGGUGGCAGCGGCGGCAUCCGUGCUCGGAACGGCGUCCGGCGCCACCAGCUACACCGUCGGCGAGCCAGGUGGGUCGUGGGACCUGCAGACCAACCUCACCGCCUGGGCGUCCACCGUCGACUUCCACCCGGGCGACCAGCUGAUGUUCAAGUACGACGCGUCGGCGCACGACGUCGUGGAGGUGACCCAGGCCGGCUACACCUCCUGCUCGGCGGCGAGCCCCAUCGCCGGCCCGAAAUCUUCCGGUCCGAAUGUUCGGACCGGAGACGCCGUCCGAUGAUUCCCGCGCGAUGUUUCCCGCGCACGCGUGACAGGUACGUACGUUUUCUUUUUUAUUUCUUUCUUUUUGUUAUUUCUUUUUUUUUCUUUUCUUCUUCUUUUCUUUCUUUUUAUGUUUCUUUUCUUUUUCCCUCCCGCCGUUGCUGUUAGUUUUCUUCUCUUUUUUUUUCUUUUUUCUUUUUCUUUUUCUUGCUAUAUUUUUUUCUUUAAUUUUUUUUCUUUUUUUUUCUUUUUUUCAUUUUAUAUUCCGUUUGGUUCUUUUUUUUAUCUUUUUUGUGCUUUAUUUUUAUUUUAUUUUUUAUAUUAUUCUUUAUUUUGUAUCUUUAUCUUUAUCUUUUUUUAUUAUUCUUAUUAUUUUUCUUUGAUGUUUACGUGCUGACGUUCUAUUUUUUAUUUUUUUCUUUUGAUUUUGUUUUUCCUUUUAUUUUUUAAUUAUGUUUUCUUUUAUUCAUGUUUUAUUUUUUCAUCUUUCUUUGUUUCUUUUCUUUAAUUUUUUUUCUUUUUUCUUUUUUUUUUCAUUUUGUAUUCCAUUUGAUUCUUUUUCUAUCUUUUUUGUGCUUUAUUUUUAUUUUCAUUUUUUGUUUUAUAUUAUUCUUUGUUUUGUAUAUUUUAUCUUUUUUUGUUAUUGUUAUUAUUUUCUUUGAUGUUCAAGUGCUGAUGUUCUAUUUUUUUUCUUUUGAUUUUGUUUUUUUAUUUUUAAUUAUGUUUUCUUUUAUUCAUGUUUUAUUUCUUAAUCUUUCUUUGUUAUGAAUUUUUUUUUUGCAUCAUAUGUGAUGUUCUAUAAUACAUUAAGUGUUGUUUUAUGAUUAAUUCAGCGAUGUUUACUUAGUAUACAUACAAUGUUCUAUAAUGUGUUGAGUGAUGUUGUAUUAUGAAUUUAGUGAUGUUCGCUUAGUACACAUGUGGUGUUCUAUGAUAUAUCUAGUGAUGUUCACGUAAUAUAUAUACGAUGUUCCAUAAUGUAUUUAAUAGUGUUCUAUAGUGUAUUUAGUGAUGUUCAGUUUAGUACACAUGUGAUGUUUUAUAGUUUAUUUUUAGGAUUUUUUAAAACUAUCCAUAUGAUGUUCUUUUAAAUUUUUCUCUAUUACGUGUUUUUUUCCUUAUGCUUUGCUCUAGAUUUUAUUUUUUUUGUUUACAUGAUGUAUUUAUUUAUUUAUUUUAAAUAUUAUAAUAUCAGUUUCAUGAAUCUAAACUAGAACACUAUUUUUUAAACUGAGAACAUUUUUCUUACGAAGAUGGAAUAUUUAUUUUAUGAACCUAGAACAUUGUCUAUCAUAAAUAAAAAUGUUAUCUCUUUAUAAGAUAAAUGUUUAUUAAUAAAAUUUUAUCUAAAUAUAUCCAUGUGAGAUCUUGUUUUGAAGGAUUUAUUAUAAGAAACACUAUAGUGUAAUCGGAUUUUGAUUUAGAUAUUUAGUUUAGGAGCUAUGACUUUUUAAAUAUUGUUGAUGAAAGUGGAGAAUAUAUGGAUGAGGUGGGCCGAUGGACAUCCUCUGCCGCUAGCUAAGAGCAUCUCUAAGGGAUUUUGCAAAUGAAUUUUGCAUUUGGUGUUGUUUGCAAAGUUCAAAACUCAUUUGCAAAGUCUAAAAAUAGUCCAACUCCAAGGUACUUGGAUUUAGACAUGACAAACCCAAAGUGUGGACCCCACUUCCGAUUUUUUUUCACCGAUCGCGUCCGCGUUUUUUUCCCUUCGCGCCAUUUUGACGUACGUCGUGCAUGCCAGUCGCCGCCCAGGCCAGGUCGCCGCCAAUUGCCGCCCAGCCUAGGUCUUCGCGCCAGUCGUCGCCCAGCCCAGGCCGCGUUCGUCGUUCGUCGUCGUCGUCAUUCGCGUCAGUGUCAGGCGCGCACGGCAGCUGGUGGGACGGCGGGCACGCGCCGCAGCUGGAGGGUGGGUGCGCGCGGCAGGGAGGGCGGACGGACGUAGAGAAAUCGCGCGGGGUGGGGGGGGGGGCAGGGGACAGAGUCCGACGUGGAAGGCCGAAAUUGUAGAUGCAAAGUGGUGGGAAGGUUUGCAUAUAUGCAAAGCCUCAACCUCUAUUUGCAAAGUUAACCAAAUUGCAAACCUUAUUUGCAAAACCAUUGGAUGAGUAUUUUUUACUUUUUUUGCAAAUAGGGCAAUGCAAAGUUUAUUUGCAAAGCCCUUGGAGAUGCUCUAAGAUUGGAUGCGCGGAAAAGCUGGGCGGGAAACUAUCGGCAGAGAUUUAUCAUCCAAUGCCGGACGCGAAGAACACCCGUCGCCGGCGGCGGCACCCACCAGACCGGCGCGACACCGUCGAGCUCAACCGCGUCGUGGUGCGCAACUUCAUCUGCGGCAAGCCGGGGCACUGCGGCGCCGGGAUGAAGCUGGCGGUCAGGGUCACGCCCGUGUGCAGAAACGACAGCAGCGGCUUCAUCAACACCAUUUGUUUCAAUGUGCCCCUCGGCGGCGCGGCUUCUGGAGCCGGUCUCGGCUCUCUACUUGUCACCGUUGUGUCGCUGCUGCUAGGCCUCACCCUCACCAUUGGAUAGCUCACUGUUUCAUUUCCUUCAUCAACCAUGCAGUAUUUCGUUAUAUAUCUCGUAGUACUGUUGAACGAAUAAUAAUGUAUCUGUUCUUAAAUGUUCAUGCCAGACAAUUUACUUGUAUUUAAAUGUAAAAAAAUAUAUGACAUAUAUAAAAAGUGUGACAUUGUUGCUAUUAUAUGGAGAACAAGAACGAACAAUAAUGUGACCUUGUUGCUAUGGGACGUACGGACCUGAUAGUCGAGGGAUGAAAGUUGGACUUUAUAUUUGUCCUAAUCAAAUUUUCAAAGGAUCUUGCAAAAAAUAUGACCUUGUUCCAUACGGUGCUUAAUCUUAACAAGCACUUUGCCGAGUCCUGGAGCUAGCCCCAAAUGUACUUGACAAAGGCUUUGUCGUAUGCCACACUCGGUAAAAGCACCAAAGAUUUUAUUGGCAAAGAGCUAUUUGCUAAGUGUUUUUUGUCGGACACUUAACAAAAAAAACCAAAACAAUCUGAAAAAAUAGCAAUUUUCCAUCUCUACGCAACCAAAGGGUUUCAAACCCACACAACCUCUGUCUCGUAUGUCUCCCCUUGUAACCACUACACCACACUAUCACUUAUGUCUAUAUUCCGUUUUGGUUCUCCGUAUAUUAUACCAAACCAAGUAUAAAUUGAUUGUUUGAGUCCCUAAACGAAUUCAGAUCAAAAAGUUGUCAACUACAAAGUUUUAUAAUUUUUAAGAUCUACAAUUUUCAUUUAUGAAGUUCUCCAUCCGAGGUCUUUUACAAAAUUUAAAUUUCAAAUUCAAAAAAUUUAAACGUAGUUUUGCACGCCAAGAUGAUUUCAAAUAAAAAAGUUAUCAACUACCAUAAGACUUGGGAUGACAUCUCAAUCCCUUAGAAUUUUGCCAACUCUGGCAGUGAUUUAUUUUGCCACCUCACGCCCCGAGUGGCCAAACCCACACCACCGGAGUGGGCAAUCCCGUCCUCGACCCCCGCCCAGCGCAUCCAUUGCUACAUCUGCCUCGCCAUCCCGUCCAUCGUCCCCAACUGCAGUGUCUACAACUCUCAACUUACUACCAAUCCUAAUCCUAUGUCUUCAAGCUUGGUUGCUGUCCCUAUGCUCUUACUUGCCUUGAGGGAGCACUAUGACUUCCUCGAUUGCUCACCCCAACGUUACCUACCCUGUGUUAUCAUCUCAGCACCACUUGGGCACUACGCUUGAGCCUGAUGGCUAGGGUGAGGCCAUCCCUUCAAAUUCAAGGGAAGGGUGACCUCGAAUCUAGGUAACCUAUACUGAAUCUAGGCUCACCCUAUACUGCUCUCGGUUGUCCCACUAACCAAACACGUGCUCAGUGCUAAGGAAAAUAUUUGUCGAGAUGUUUACGGUGACUUCAUCAAUAUUGGAACUAGCUUAGUCUUUUUGGGAGAUGAUCAUAAAGAUAUAGGGUUACACGAAUAUGUUGGUAGGAAUGAAUAUACAUGUAAAUUUUGUUUAUGGGUACUAUGGGGUAUAUAUGUUUGCUAAUGUGUAAUCUCUAUUCUUCUUCUACCUUAAAGAACGAAGCGUUUCUUCCAACCUAUUUUUUUUUUUAAUUCCUAAAAUACUCUUGGUUUUGGUCCGUCUAUCAAGUCCUUUUUUCACUUUUUCUUUUUCUUUUUAUCCAUCCGCCAAUGUUUUGUGUGGACAUUAUUUUUCUUUUUUCUUUCUUGGUCUUUUUUCUGCACGCCCACAGUGUUCCUUUUUAUUUCACUUUUUUGUUUUUGCUUUUUUUUUCUAUUUUCUGUUACCCGUCUGCUCGGUGUCGGUGUAUCCUAUCAUUAUUUUUAUGAUUUUUAGAUUUGUUUUCCUAUGAAUACUUAAAUAAAAGAAUAGAAACAAAACAAUCAUGGGUCUUUGAACUCUUGAUUCUUCUUGCUAAUAAAUUGAAAACUUUUACCACCAAAUUGUUAAUGUAAUUUUAUGAACCCAUAUACCACCCCACGAGGUCGACUAAUUUAUAUACUAAUAACUUGCCGACGUGGGGUUUGACCUCGAUGGCUUGGCCAUGGUCGAGCCGCACGUCAGGUUCAUGAUGAUCAGUUGAUCACCAAUGUCACGUCCCACUUCCCCCUGUUGAAUAUCCAUGCGUUCCACCCAGCAGUCCGACACUACUUUGAUCGCUUUCAUGACAAUGCAAAGCAUUGGCGUCAACAUUAUAUUAGCGUAGGUAGAACAGGAAUAACACUACCCAAUCGUUCUCGAUGAACUUUGUGUGUUUGCCAUCAUCUCCGGGUGAAAUACCAUGGUGAGCGGCAAGGGAACGAGCUGGCCUCCUUCGUCACGCCUAGCAAAACUAAACCUGUUUGUCUGGUACAUUGCCAAGCCAGUUCCCCGUAGCCUCUUCGACAAGAGAAACACACCACUGCUGCAUGAUCGGGCAUUAGCACCGGUCGGGAAGGGCCUGUUGCCCCGGUUCCCGAGCCGGUGCUGCCCUUCCGGGACUAAAGGCCCACCCUUUAGUCCCGGUUCGGCCAACCGGGGCUAAAGGCCCCCCCUUUAACACCGGUUGGUAACACCAACCGGUGUUAAAGGGUCCUGCCAGGGCUGCCACGUUGCAACCCUUUAACACCGGUUGGUGUUACCAACCGGUGUUAAAGGGUUUCUUUUUCUUUUUUUUUAGUUCACUUCUUCGGUUCUGUUUAUUGUUUAUAUAUAAUAUAUAAUAAUAGGUUUUUCAAUACAUGUUUUGCUGAUACAAUAAUAUAUUUAUAUUACACGCAUAUUAAGCAUAUAUAAAUGAAAAUUAUAGGCUAAGCUUAAUAGUUAAGCUUUGCCUAUAAUAAAAUGAAUAGACCACAUCAAAAAUUAAAUAGAUAUGUAAAAAGCUUUAUAUAUAUAUAGUUUUAUAUGUACAAAAUUCGUAACACAUAUAUACAUAGAGUUUGUUCUCCCAAUGUCUACAAACGAUACAAAUGAUCAUCGUUGUUUGGUAUAAGAGUUUCGUUGCCGUUGAAGUGAAACUCGCCGUUUGGAUUGAUCACUUGGUCGCGGAGAAAUCCUGCUAUCGUCUCUUGGAUAGCUUUGAUUCGGUCUUGUUGUAGGACCUUUUUCCUCAGCCAUUCCGUCUUUAAUUUGAAAUAAAUAAAAAAGGUAUUAGUUAUCUAAGUUAUUCAAUAUAAUUCAGGAGAUAAUGAAAAGAGACAUGUAACGUACUCUGAGCGUCUCUGUGGGUGUUUGAUUGACUUGUGCCAUCAUGAAUUUGCACACGUAAUAUGCACAUAGAUUGUUCCCUCCUUCUUGUCUUAAACACCACUGUACGAUGUAUAUAUAUAUAAAAAUAUUCAUAACCACGACAAUAAGAAGGCUAAAAGUUAGCGAAAGUUUGUUAGCUAGUAGAACUUACUUGUGGAUGUAUUAUGUUAAGCGGCGCUUUACAUCCACUGAGAUGUUCACGGUCAAUGAAUCUUUCCCAAACCCUAUACACAGCCAUUGUGGAUCGUGAACUAAUAAUUACAGAGUCAUAUUAUGAUAUUUUUGUAGCUGAGAUCGACAUUACGUACCUUUGAAUAAUGUUUACCAUUUGUUGAUAAUUUUCUUGUGGUUUUCUCAUUGAGUCAAAGAUUAUCAAUCGGUUCUUGGGAAUUUCAAUGACCAUGAGUAUCCAGUGAAAGCUGUUUACACACACAUAUAUAGGGUCAGUCCUAUAAUGUAAAAUAAAAUAUGCAUGCACUUAAUAACUAUAUAACUCACUCGAAGUUGAAGGGGAAGAGUAUUUUUUGUUUUUCUUUUUGGUUUACAAAGAACCUCAUAAGAUUGGUGCAGAUUUCUGUCUCAUAAUCUGCUGUCCACACUGCCUGCGGAGCCUUGAAAACAAUAUAAGGGUCAACGAACCCAAUACUAUUGUCAUUUCUCAUUCUGAGCUCUCUCAUUUGGUGCCUGCAUAUAUACAUACAAAUCCUAAGUGUGUAAGGAUUAUAUACAUGUAAUUAAAGAAGUUAGAAGUAUAAUAAAAAGGAAAAAUACUUACAGACAAAAGCAGCUGACAAGAGAUUUGUCAAGAGCGUCGAGGUGGCAUAAUUGGUGCAAUUCUUCGAACUGCACGUAUAUGAGGUCAUCUCCACGGAAGUAGUGAUGUUGUCUAAUACGAACAGAAAUCCAAUUCUCUCCCCUUUUAGACGCCUCAAUGCACCAUUUGUUUAUUGCAAACAUUUGUGUGCCGAGCUCGUGUAAACGCUUAGGGUCGAAUAGACUCCUGCCCGGUUCAUAUCUUGCCCUCCAUUGAUCAACUACCUCGGCUUUUUCAAAUGUAUGACAUCCAAGAAUGGCGGUAAUUUCUUCUAUAUUUAAACCGCUCUGUCCAAAGUAACUCUCAAGCGAGUCUAGCUCAGACAACGCUAAGGAUUUCUUUGGCAUCAAGUCUUCAUUUGAGCCGUAUUGAUUUGGCACAAUCAAAGGGGGCACCGGUUUUGAUACUUCUCCGAGCUGUGGGACCCCCUUUCCUACUCUCUUCUUAGUAGGCUGUGAAGACUUGACCAGAGACCGCUCAUAGUCCGAAAGUGCUGGCUUUUUCUGAGCUUCGCGUUGCUUCUUUUGAUGGUCCGCCACCUUCUGCCUCAGUUCCGAUGGCUUCACAUAAAAGUACGGCUUUUCUGGGUUAAGCCGUUUUUUCCUUUCCUCCUUUAUUUUAUCAAAAAAUUGUUGGACCUCAGCUUUAGAUGUAGCAAUUACCUCCUCUUCACUCUUUUCGUAAGGUAAUUUUUCUGGCGUCUUAGCUCUCUUUGCUGAGGCAACCUUCUUUGGAGGUGGGACCGAUGACUUCGGUCCUUCUUGGACGGACCGCUUCUUACUACCUCGCUUUGGAGGCGAGGGGACCGACCGUGCACUCUUUGGAGAGGGCGGUGCAGGCGGAGGAGUUGGAGAACGCGGUGGAGGAGUUGGAGACCUCGGUGGAGGAGGUGGAGACCGUGGUGGAGGCGGUGGCGGGGUCGGUGUGGCCGCCGCAGGUGUUGGAGGAGAUCCAGCAUUGUCACCGCCCGCAGCACUAUGAUGCGCUAGGGAGAGAACUGGACUUAGGUUGGAGGAGUCCCUGCAAAGAAAACAAUUACAAGUUUUGUGAGUAAACUUUUUUUAAAUUUCAAUACAUAAUAAAUAAUAUAAGAAGUAAAAUCACACACAAACCUAUGCUGAGGAAUAAUUAUGAAGCGCUUGCGCCAACAAAUAAAUGUCUUCUCAGCUUCACCUAAGGUCUUCUCUCCGUCUCCCCCUUCUAUGUCUAGUGGCACAUUGCCACAACCUUUCUCAACCCUAUCAACCGAGACGCUAGCAUAUCCACCAGGUACUGGUCGAUUAUGGAUUCUUGGAGUGCCCGUUCGGUCGAUAGGGUUGACAACAGCGAUAGCCACCUUUUUGGUGGCAUUCCCAUAUGGUACAUGCAGCUCACAGGUAGUAAAAGCCUCUGUGACAUCAUCCACGGGGAAGUGUAGCUUCGUGUCAUCCUGAAUGGUUGGUACUUCCGUGGAUGCGCAGCUGCUUUUCAACUGGCCUGGGGGGCUAACAUUGACCUCAGGCUGUGAUGUACCUUGCCCUUUCGUCAUUUGACUAAGUGCUGCUUGCACUUGCCUUUGAAUCUCUGCCUGCAUCCAUUCUUCACGAGCUUUCUCGCGCUCUUGUGACUGCAGAACAAAAGCUUCCAGGCGGCGGAUCCGCUCUGCCUCCUCAUCCUUCUUUCUCUGGCGGCUUCUGUAGGUAUCUUGAUCGGCUUGGAAUGAUUGCAGCCACGGAACUGCCCCAUAGCCUCUCGUACGCCCACCGUGCUCAGGAUUUUCAAGCGCAUAGGUGAGUUCAUCCUUCUCCCUGUUAGGCCUGAACUCACCAGACUGAACCGCCUCACGUGCACGGACUAGUCUCUCUGCUGCUCUUGAGAUUUCUUGGCCCCAAACUAGCGCCCCGGUGUCUGGGUCCACGCUUCCCCCAUGACCGUAGAACCAAUGCUUGGAGCGCUCGCUCCAAUUCUUUGCUAUUGUCUCGGAUGUGACCCCCCUAGCAAGCAUCUCCUGUUCCAUUCGGUCCCACUUGGGAGCAGCACUCUUAUAACCACCUGAUCCCAUAUGAUGGUGGUAUGCCUUUUUACUGGCAUUCUCUUUGUUUCUAUUGGCUCGUUCCUCGCCCUCUUCUGAUGUUUUGUACUGCACAAAGUCAUCCCAGAAGGCCCUCAGCUUUACAUAUUGCUUGAGGUUGAAAUCUGGAGUCUCGUUUUUCUUGACAUAUUUAUUGUACAAAGACUUCUUCCAAUUCUGGAAGAGUACUGCCAUCUUCUUCAUAGUCCAGUCAUAAAUUCGCACCUUCAACUCUUCAUCGUUGGUGUCGAAGGUGAAAACGUCUGUGACGGCUUUCCAAACUAACUCCUUGUCACGAUCAGAGACAAAACUGAUCUCAGGAGCACCUCGCUUCUCUCUCCAUUCACGACAACUGAUCGGUAUUUGAUCUCUCACAAGAUAUCCACAGUGAUUAACAUAUUUAUUUGCAUGCUCACCAAGUGGUCUGCCUGUAGCUAUCUCAAACUCAGAGAUUACAUAGCGGCCCUCCAACGGCUUCUUUGGUCCUCGUGGAGGUACGCUUCUCCCCGUAGAGGUCGAUCCAGAAGGCUACACGUACAUAUAGAAACAAAAAUACUAAAUUAAUAACCAAGUAAUAAGUCUAAAACCUAAUGUAAGAGAUGCAUUAUUUAUAUAUGUUUACAUUUACAUACCUCGCCAGUAUUUUCUUCUUGUUGCACGACAAGUUGUUGCUCAGGGGCAUUGCCCUCUUGUUGCUCAGGGGCAUUGCCCUCUUGUUGCUCAGUACGAUUGCCUUGCAUGAUGUCGUGGUAAUCAACGAAGUACUGACUACCGUCGUCGAUUAUAUUUUGAAUGGCAGCUUCCAUAUAAUCAGGAUCAUCAUGAGGAUGGUCAGCCAUUUCUAUGUCUGCAACCAUACAUAUAUAUAUAUUCUAUAUAAGAUAAGAAAUACACUAAUACUACUACAAAUGAAAGUGUUGGAGUGCUCUAAAAAUAAUACUAGGAUCUUUUAAGCCAAGUAAUACAUUAAUAAAAAAAAGUAGAAUAAUAUAUAGUACAAACAAAAAUAUAUACAAAACCCUACUAGAAUAAAUUUAGUGGCUAAACACUACUAGAACAUAUAUUAGAGACUUAUAUACUACUACUAGUACUACUACAAAUUAAAGUGUUGGAGUGCUCUAAAAAUAAUACUAGAAUCUUUUAAGCCAAGUAAUACACUAGAAUAAAAACAAUACUAGAAUAAUAUAGUACAAACAAUAAUAUUUACAAAACACUAGAAAAUAAAAUAUGAUACAAGAAUAAUAUACAACAAAUAUAUACUAAAAAAAACUACUACAAAUAAUAUAUUAAAAAAAUAAUACAUUCAUACAUACAAACUAUAUAUAUGUGUGUGUAUAUAUGUACAAAAAAUAAUACAUAUAUACAAAAAAUAAAACAUACAUACAUACUAUAUAUAUACUACAAAUAAUAUAUUAAAAAAAUAAUACAUACAUACAUACAUACAUACAAACAAUUAUAAUUCAUACAUACAAACUAUAUAUAUGUGUGUGUGUAUAUAUGUACAAAAAAUAAUAUACAUACAUACAAAAAAUAAUACAUAUAUACAAAAAAUAAAACAUACAUACUAUAUAUAUAUACUAGAAUAAUAUAUUAAAAAAAUAAUACAUACAUACAAACAAUUAUAAUUCAUACAUACAAACUAUAUAUAUGUGUAUAUAUGUACAAAAAAAAUAUACAUACAUACAAAAAAUAUUACAUAUAUAUAUAUACAUAAAAAUAUAUACAAAAAAUAAUACAACAAAUCAAAACACCAUAUAUACAUAAAAAUAUAUAAAAAAAUAAUACUACAAAUCAAAACACCAUAUAUACAUAUAUAUAUAUGUAUAUGGUGUUUUGAUUUGUAGUAUUAAUUUAUGUAUAUAUAUGUAAUAUUUUUUGUAUAUAUAUUUCUGGUCUAGCUAGUCUAUAUAAAUACAUAAUUAAUCAAUGGCGUUCUCGAUCUAUACUUAGCAAGGCCGGCCGGAGCUAGAGAUCAGGGAAGAUCGACGUGGCCUGGAUGAUGUGUGGCCCGCGCGCUCGAUCUGGCCGUGGCCCGCGGCGGCGGCGUUGGAGGAGGGCCGCGGCGGCGCUGGUGGAGAGCCGCGGCGGCGCUGGUGGAGACGGUGGUCGCGGCGGCGAGGGAGUCGAGAACGAAACGACGGCGGCGAGAACGAAACGACCGCGGCGGCGCUGGAACGAAGACGAAGACGAAAGAACUGCCGGAUCCAGGGAGCCGGCUGCUUAUAUAGGGGCGGACCCUUUAGCACCGGUUUCAGCCACGGACCGGUGCUAAAGGGUCCAGCGCGCGCUAGGGCGGGCUCCUGAAAUUUUCAGGACCCUUUAGCACCGGUUCCCACUAUGGGCCGGUGCUAAAGGCCCAUUUUUUUAGUUUAGGGUUUUUUAAUUGUUUUAUAUAUACAGUUUAUAUUAUAAAUUGUAUAGUAAAUUAAAUAUUUUGCAUAAUGUUUUUUAAACAGUGACAUAUAUUGUAAUUUGUUUUAAUAUACACAUGAAAACUUUUAAACUUAAAUAUCUUAUUGUAUUUUUAUAAUUUGCAAUGAUUUUGUAAGAAUUGUUUAGUAUUUUGUUAAUGCAAAAAUAUAUUAUUCCAAUAAAUUUACAAAAACUAUAUCCAAUGAACUGGAAAUUUAUUUUCACAUCAUAUUGACGUAAAACUUUUUAUUUUUGUUAUUUAUUACUAGGAAUGCUAGUUGGGUAUAAUUUUCAUCAAAUAAAAAAUAUAAAAAUAUAUAUCUUGAUGAACACACCCUUUGACCGAACCCUAGAUUGUCCCAAAUGGAAAAGUCAUGAAUACAAAGUUUGCUACACUCAUCAAGUUCUACAUUUUGUCUAAUGGUCAACUUUUCAUUUGGAAAAGUUUGAACCACUGAAUUUUGAAUUUUCAUAGAACUCAUAGCCACGCAGCGGUUUCGGAACCCUAGAUGGUCUCGAAUGGAAAAGUCAUGAAUACCAAUAUUGUUCCACUCAUCAAAAUCUACAUUUCAUAUACAGACCAUUUUUGCAUUUGACAAAGUUUUGGGAAGGUGUAGUUGAAAAUCCACAAUUGACACAUAUAGUUUCAUAUAGUUUGUGUGAGAUUCAAGAAUUGGUGGGUAUUCUUAACUUAGACUUUCUCAAAUGGAAAAGUUGUGUAUAUAAAAAGUUUAGAUCUUGAAGAUAUCUAACAACUUGGUAUUCAAAAUAUUUUCAUUUGAAGUAAUUUAGUUUGUCAUUUGACCAAAUUUGACCAAAACCCGUCUUGGAUUUUAUAGAAAUGUAAUUAGGAUUGGCUCAAAAUUAUCCAAAUGGAAAAAUGGACAAUAUAUAAAAUAUAGAUCUUGAUGAUCUCUAACAACUUUGUAUUCAAACUUUUUUCAUUUCAAGUCAUCAAAUGGGCUAUUUGACCAAGUUUGACCAAAGUCAAAGCAUUGGUUUUUACAAACACACCCUUUGACCGAACCCUAGAUUGUCCCAAAUGGAAAAGUCAUGAAUACAAAGUUUGCUACACUCAUCAAGUUCUACAUUUUGUCUAAUGGUCAACUUUUCAUUUGGAAAAGUUUGGACCACUAAAUUUUGAAUUUUCAUAGAACUCAUAGCCACGCAGCGGUUUCGGAACCCUAGAUGGUCUCGAAUGGAAAAGUCAUGAAUACCAAUAUUGUUCCACUCAUCAAAAUCUACAUUUCAUAUAUAGACCAUUUUUGCAUUUGACAAAGUUUUGGGAAGGUGUAGUUGAAAAUCCACAAUUGACACAUAUAGUUUCAUAUAGUUUGUGUGAGAACUUAGAAUUGGUGGGUAUUGUUAACUUAGAUUUUCUCAAAUGGAAAAGUUGUGUAUAUAAAAAGUUUAGAUCUUGAAGAUAUCUAACAACUUGGUAUUCAAAAUAUUUUCAUUUGAAGUAAUUUAGUUUGUCAUUUGACCAAGUUUGACCGAAACCCGUCUUGGAUUUUAUAGAAAUGUAACUAGAAUUGGCUCAAAAUUAUCCAAAUGGAAAAAUGGACAAUAUAUAAAAUAUAGAUUUUGAUGAUCUCUAACAACUUUGUAUUCAAACUUUUUUCAUUUCAAGUCAUCAAAUGGGCUAUUUGACCAAGUUUGACCAAAGUCAAAGCAUUGGUUUUUACAAACACACCCUUUGACCGAACCCUAGAUUGUCUCAAAUGGAACAGUCAAGCCGACACAACAGUGAACUUCUUCUUGACGUAUGACCCUUGGUUAUGAUCCUGCCGUAACCAUGGAGUAUCCUCAUUGUUUAACAGAAUGCUUGGGUCUUUGUUGACUAUGAAGGGCGGAAUUCGAUCAUCCCUUUCGUAAUCGCCUGACAUGUCUGACUUGUCCUCAAUUCCGACAAUGUUUCUUUUCCCAGAAAGGACAAUGUGGCGCUUUGGCUCAUUGAUGAUUGAGUGGUCAUCAUUUUUUCCUCUCUUUGGUUUCGUAGACAUAUCUUUGACAUAGAACACCUGACUCACGUCUGCAGCAAGGACGAAUGGUUCGUCUUUGAACCCACUAUUGUUAAGGUCCACGGUUGUCAUCCCAUACUCCUUGUCGACUGUUACCCCACCUCCGGUCAUCUUCACCCAUUGGCACCGGAACAAAGGAACUUUAAAAUUAGCUGCAUAGACUAGUUCCCAUAUGUCUUCUAUGCGUCCAUAAUAUGUUUGCCUGUUCCCAUUUGGAUCCGUGGCAUCCACGCGUACACCACUAUUUUGGUUGGUGCUCCUUUUAUCUUGGCCAACUGUGUAAAAUGUGUUACCAUUUAUCUCGUACCCUUUGUAUGUGAGGACAUGCCAUGAUGGUUGCCUGGCCAACAAAUAAAGCUGCUCAUCAAUGUUUUCAUCACCUUGACAUUUUUUGCGCAACCAAUCGCCAAAAGUUUCCAUGUGCUGACGCAUUAUCCAAGCUUCAUUCUUCCCGGGCCACUGGGACCGUAGGUAAUCUUUGUGUACCUCAACAUAUGGUUCCACCAAUGAGGAGUUCUGGAGAACUGUGUAGUGUGCUUUAUUGAAGUAAUCGUUUCCCGUACCAAUAUAUGUUUUCUUCCCAAGUGUUCCCUUUCCGCUGAGUCUGCCCUCGUGUCGAGAUUCAGGAAUGCCAAUUGGGUCAAGGUCUGGAAUAAAGUCAACACAGAACUCUAUGACCUCCUCUGUUCCGUAGCCCUUGGCAAUGCUUCCUUCUGGCCGGGAACGACUAUGGACAUAUUUCUUUAGGACACCCAUGAAUCUCUCGAAGGGGAACAUGUUGUGUAGGAACACAGGACCGAGAAUACGAAUCUCUUUGACCAGAUGAACUAGGAGGUGUGUCAUGAUAUCGAAGAAGGAUGGAGGGAACACCAACUCAAAGCUGACGAGACAUUGAACGACAUCAUUCUGCAGAGUAGCUAGUUGCUCUGGAUUGAUUGCCUUCUGAGAAAUUGCAUUGAGGAAUGCACAUAGCUUUACGGUGGCUAGACGUACGUGUGGAGGUAGAAUUCCUCUUAAAACGACCGGCAGCAAUUGCGUCAUUAGAACGUGACAGUCAUGGGACUUCAAGUUCAGGAAUUUCUUUUCUGGCACAUUAAUUAUUCCCUUGAUAUUGGAGGAGAAUCCAGAUGGGACCUUGAUGCUGCUAAGACAUUCAAACAUGCUUUCCUUCUCUUCUUUGCUCAGAGUGUAGCUAGCAGGGCUUAAGUAAUGACGUCCAUCAUCUGUCUUUUCUGGAUGCAGGUUGUCUCGUUCUUUCAUGCGCUGCAAGUCUUGUCGUGCUUCAAGUGAAUCCUUAGACUUCCCGUAGACACCCAUGAAUCCGAGCAAGUUCACACAAAGAUUCUUUGUCAGGUGCAUCACGUCGAUCGCGUUGCGGACCUCUAGGACAUUCCAGUAAGGUAGCUCCCAAAAUAUGCAUUUCUUCUUCCACAUGGGUACGUGUCCCUUAGCAUCCUUGGGAAUAGGUUCGCUGCCUCGUCCCUUUCCAAAUACCACUUUUAUAUCCUUGACCAUUUCGAGUACAUCAUCCCCGGUUCGAUUGAGAGGUUUGGUCCGGUGGUCUGCCUUGCCUUUAAAAUGCUUGCCUUUCUUUCGUACUGGGUGGUUCACAGGAAGAAACCGACGGUGGCCAAGGUACACGACCUUUCGACAUUUUUUCAAAAAUACACAGUCAAGGUCUUCAUAACAAUGUGUGCAUGCAUUAUAUCCCUUGUUUGACUGGCCUGAAAGAUUACUCAGAGCUGGCCAAUCAUUGAUUGUUACAAACAGCAAUGCUCGUAGGUCAAAGUGCUCUUGUUUGUACUCAUCCCACACGCGAACUCCUGGUUUGCUCCAUAAAAGUUGAAGUUCCUCAACUAAUGGCCUAAGGUAGACAUCUAUGUCAUUGCCAGGUUGCUUCGGUCCUUGGAUAAGCACCGGCAUCAUAAUAAACUUCCGCUUCAUGCAUAGCCAUGGAGGAAGGUUGUAGAUACAUAGAGUAACUGGCCAAGUGCUGUGACUACUGCUCUGCUCACCGAAAGGAUUCAUACCAUCUGUACUUAAGGCGAACCGCAAGUUUCUAGCAUCAUUUGCAAAAUCUGAGAAUUCUCUGUCUAUCGCUCUCCACUGGGAUCCAUCGGCAGGGUGUCUCAGCAUAUUGUCUAUCUUACGGUCUUCUUUAUGCCACCGCAACAACUUUGCAUUGUCCUUAUUUCUGAACAGACGUUUUAAUCGUGGUAUUAUAGGAGCAUACCACAUAACCUUGGCUGGAAUUUUCUUCCUAUGACGUUCUUCACCCUCAACAUCGCCAGGAUCAUCUCGUCUAAUCUUAUACCGUGAUGCCUUACAUACUGGACAUGCAUCCAAAUUCUCGUAUUCCUCCCCACGGUAGAGGAUGCAGUCAUUAGGACAUGCGUGUAUCUUCUGGAUUUCUAAUCCCAAAGGGCAGACAACCUGUUUUGCUUCAUACGUAGUGGUGGGCAAUUCGUUGCCUUUCGGAAGCAUCUUUUUUAUGAUCUUCAAUAACUGCCCAAAUGCCUUGUCAGAUGUACCAUUCUUUGCCUUCCAUUGCAGCAAUUCUAGUGUGGUACCCAGCUUUUUUUGCCCCUCUUCAGCGGUGGGAUAUAGCGAUUUCCUGUGGUCCUCUAGCAUGCGCUCGAACUUGGCUUUCUCUUUAUCACUUUCACAUUCUCUUUGUGCAUCACGGAUGGCAUCACCAAAAGCAUCAUCGCCCCGAUCAUCUUCUGCCGCCACCUCUUCUUCAUUAUCUCCCCCCAUUGCAACAUCAUUGAAGCCACCGUACUGAGCAAUAAUAUUGGCAUGGUCCAAUUCUUCUUCUUCUUCACCUUCAUCCAUUAUAAUCCCGCUUUCUCCAUGUUUGGUCCAACAAAUAUAGUUUGGUACGAAACCAGACUUUAAUAAGUGUGAAUGAAGAGUUCUUGAGUUAGAAUAUUCCGUCAAAUUCUUGCACACGGCACAUGGACAGCACAUGAAACCGUCCCUCUUAUUUGACUCGGCCACACUUAAGAAAUAGUGCACGCCAUUAAUGAACUCUUCGGAGCGCCGAUCGGCAUUAUACAUCCAAUUACGUGUUACCAUCUGCAUUAAAGAUAACAUAUAUAUUAUGAAAACCAUGCACACAUAUAGUUUCUCAUCUUAUUGCACAACAUGUCUAAGAUACAUAGUUGAUUAAUUUAGAAAAGCUUGGCUACAACAAAUACAAUCGCAACUAGCAUUAAAAAAAAUAAAACUAAAAUGCACUUAAGCAACAUAAUUAGUUCGCGUCCGAUCCCAACUAUAAUAGAUAGAUCAUUCGCUUGAUCAACUUCAUUGAACUUCUUUCGUCGGCUCACUGCCUCACCACCUUCAGCCUCAACCACCUGUGCAAAAGAUUUCUUAAUGUGUUCAAUGUAUUCUUCCUCCCAGUACCAACCUGUACAUCCGCCGGUACCGUCCCACUGAAAUUAAAAGAGAGAAUCAAAAGUUUAAUUAAUAUCAUUUAAAAAAAUAUGCACAUAUAUAAGCAAAUGUCUGGAAAUAACUCACAUUACGAUCUGGACACUUGUAGAAUAUACGACCCUUGUUUACUCCCUCUUUCGACACUUUGUACUCCAUCAAAAUCUUCUGCCCACACUUGCCACAAGUAAUGAGAGGGAGUUCCGGACGGUAUCGCUUUUGAACCCGUUGAGAGACGGAAGACCCGGUCACGGUUGCCAUCUACUAUCCAUACUCAAUUUUAAAACAAUUAUAAAUUCCACAUUUACUAGUAAACAUGUAUGAUACAAUGGACAUUAUAUGUAGUAAUAAAAAUAAAUCAAGUGAUAUUAACAAACCAAUUAAUUUGAACUAUCCUACUUUCUAUGAUCAUAAAAAUAUACUAUAAUUCAUUCUUGCAAAAUAUAUUAAAACUAGGUCAACCAUGAAAUAUGAUAUAUAUAUAUGGAUACUAAUUCAUGUGAAUGAUUCAAAAUAACAAAGUGGAUUUGAGCUAAAAAAUGAUGGGAACAUCACAAGCCAAAAACAACAUGAAAAAGAUAAGAAAGGCUGAAGUUAGUCACCUCUAAGCGCGAAGAGACGAUGACGGAGUCGAAGAAGAUCAACGAUGGGCGUUGGAGAUGAAGAACAAAUGAAGAACAAGCAAGAAGAAGCUCCAAGAACAACAAUGGUGCUCUCGGUUUCAAAUGGGCAGAGGGGAGGAGGGAGCCGGCCUAUAAACCGGACCUUUAGCACCGGUUCAGAGCAACAACCGGUGCUAAAGGGUUACCUUUUAGCACCGGUUUGUAACACAAACCGGUGCUAAAGGGUUUGCCUCGGCCCGGGGCUCGUUGGGCAGGACCCUUUAGCACCGGUUCGUGUUACGAACCGGUGUUAAAGGGGUCUUUAACCCCGGGCCGCAAAAUGGCCGAGGUUUUUGGCCAUUUUAGGCAUCAACCAAUGCCUCAUUCUGUAGUAGUGAACGUAACCUUCCACUAGAUGAUUUCAAAUAAAAAUUUUGUCAAUUACAAAGUUGCAUAACGUUUCAAGAUCUACAACUUUUAUUUUGGUCAGUUGUCCUUCCGAGGUUAUUUGCCAAAUUCAAAUUUUAAAUGUUAAAACUACUAAUAUAAUUUUCCAUGGGUAGAUGAUUUCAACAAAAAACAAUGUUGGUCAUUUUUAAUCAUUUUUGAGAUCUAUAACUUUUUGAGAUCUAUAAUGUUUAUUUUGGUCAUUUUUAAUAUGAGGUAGUUUGAAAAAAAAAUCAAUUGUUAAUAUAUAAUUCUUCUUUUCGGUGCCCAUUUGUAGGGUGGUUGCAUUUCUAGAGGUGGUUUUAGCUUAAACAGUCCUACAAAGAAAAAGAGGCCUUGCUACAAAUGUAUUUUGUAGUAGAAGGAGGGCAAUUAAAAUCUAAGUUGGCCUUUAUUACCUUGGUCAAACUGCAGUGUACAUGAGACAACCAGCUGAGCAACACUCCUUGCCAUAUUUAUUUGCUGCCCCAAAUCUAAAAAGAAAAUCAAUAUAUUUGUGCUUGUAUGUGAGGGGAUAUAUUUUUUACAGCAAGGGGCAUUUUUGAGUAACGACACUUAUAAACCAUCAGAACUUAAAAAAGACUAUAUUUUGAGGCAAAAUUAUCUAAAUAAAAGAUAUAAGUUGGUACGACCUCCGUUCCAAAUUAAAAGAUAUUUUUGUUUUUCUAUAGAUACAUUCUUUUUGCUAUGUAGCUAGACGUUAAGUAUAUCUAUAAGCGUGUAAUAAAAACUAUGUAUUAGAAAAGCUAAAAUGUCUUGUAGUUUGGCAUGAGGGAGUAUAUUCUUGGUUGGAGUAUAUAUAUUUUUGAAUCCUGGCAGAGUUACAUUGAAUUGAUAGUUAAUAGUUUAUUUUUCUUUAAAUAACUUUGGAAUUCUCGAGACUUUGUGAUAGACAGCCAGAUAGAUGACUGAUAGAUAGAUAAAUAGAUAGAUAUGUAGAUAGAUAGAAUAGGUAGGUAGGUAGACACACAGACAAACAGAUAGAUAGAUAGAUAGAUAGAUAAAUAAAAUUGAUAGAUUUAGAUAGAUAGAUAGAUUAGAUAGAUAGGUAUAUAUCUUUUUUUUUUACUAAGGAGUGUAUAUAUAUUGUCCAUAUGAUGGUUGAUACGAGACACACUACACUCAAACAAUCAUAUUAUUGGCAUUGGCUCUAACCUAUCACUGAUGGCGAAGUGCCAGGAGCUCGUGAGCAUCCAAGGACUCUUGCUGCUUUCCAUGGUUCUUCUGGCAUCCUCAACUGUUUGUGCAUGCAUAAUAAAUGGUAAUUAAUGAAUUAUACCCAUUGGCUUUUGACGCAAAUACAUAUACAUAUAUGGUGUUGAUUCUGACAAAAUUGCAUGUAACUCAAUUGACCUUUUUUAGGGCAAACCAAAGAGGACAUCAACACCAGGAGUGUGAUGAUGACCACGACGAGUUCAGCAAGCUACAAAAUUGGUAGUGGUGAACAUCCAUUGACAGGUGUAUGCGUUCAGAGAGAAGAUGGAGGGUGGUGGUGCGGAAACGUCCGCUUUAGGACAUAUCUGGACUGCUCAUCGUAUUGCAGGAAGCACUUUGAUGGAAAGGACAACUAAUAAGUGGUCUGUUAUCUAAUGAUGCAUGUACCAUGCAUGUGGUUACAAUUUAGAUGAAAAUCAGUUUCUGGAUAUAUGUAAUGUAUUCAAGAGUUCUUGUAACAUGAUCAUAUGUAUAUCCAGCUAUAAUCUAAUAUAAUUUUUCUUUCAUCUAAAAAACAUUUGGAUGUACAUGCUUGCAGAAAAAAAUUUCAUGCCAUUUGGACAUAGACGAUACAUACCUGCUUCACAAACCUAUAGAAACCGUCUCCACGGCUUGGUGCCCAGGGGUCAUUUGCCUCGGAAAAACGAUCACCUAGAUGUUGCCUGUUAACUCAAUAUAUUUGCUUUCUCAGGCUAUAUCACCAAUAUCUUUGUUCAGUUUGAAUUAUAAGCCUGGCAUCUGGCAGUGUUGCCUGUGAUGUGAGCCAGGCGACUAUUUUUGUGUGCCUGGAACUGGACUUGGCAAGAAACCAGGACUACAAGCAAGGCCUUGUUUACUUUCACCAAAAAACCCAAAUUUUUCUAAGAUUCUCCGUCACAUCGAAUUUUUAGACGCAUGUAUGACGCAUGUAUGGAGUAUUAAAUAUAGAUAAAAAUCUCUACUAUAAUUGAAAUCUUCUCCAGGCAAAUCCCACCUACAAGAUCAACGACUCACAGCACAUAUCCUAUAGAUUAGACGGCCCAGAUUAGAAGUAUGAUCACGAUCUUACACACCCUCAGCCUCGCGUCAUCUCUAUUCUCCGUGAAAACUCCGUAUCGCAGAAAACCUCCACCACGCGUGCGGCUCCGUCGCCCGCCGCGAGCGUGGCCGCCGCUGCCCGCCCCGGUGUUGCGCCGCCCGCCGGAGCUGCGCCAGUCCGCUCACCCGCCCGUCCUCGCCGCGCGCUGCCCAACCAUCGCCCGCCACCCGCCGCCGCCGAUCACAGAAAAAAGGAAAUAAACCGCCCGACGCCGUCGAGGGGUAAGUUGACGGCACCAAGGGUCCGGCUGUGGCACCCAACGUCGUGCCUCCGCAGCGCCGUGAGGUGCUCUCCCGCCUCUGUGAGCAUCAUGGUCGGUGACGCACCAUCAGGGCACGAGCACCCGUUGAUCGAUCUUGCCGUCGCUGCUGCCGCAACUUAUAGGGCAUGCCGCGAUCCUGAACCGGCUCGGCCACGUCCCUCGGUGCAUCCGCACUGUGCCGGUCCCAGCGUGACGAUGUCGCUCCUCGCCGACGACGACCCCUCCGACGACGACGCGCCGAGCCACCCCACCACUUUCCUCAACGAGGCUGAGCACCCACCCUGCUGCUAGCGUGCUACACUGCUGCUGCUCGCGCGAUCUGAUCUGAGUUGUUCAAAUCCGUUCAUCCGUGUAGCGAUACCGAUCAGUGUACAUCUCAUUUCCAGAUAAACAAUUUCCUAUGCAAUGCUUUAUUUUUUUCUUUCGGAUGAACAACAGGGAAACUAUCCCUAGGUGUCCAAUUUUAUGCGUAGUGGUUGCAAAUUAAAAUAACCACAAUGCUUAAAAAUAUCUAGGUAAUUACAACCUAUGUCUCCAGUACACUAGCUUCCUAAUAAAUAUUGAUUAUGGCACAUGACUAUUUUACUUAUUGAGAAGAAAAUUUUUAACCUGAAGUGUACAGCUAGAUGUGAAUUUUGCGAAGAAAAUUGUGCUUACUAGAAUGUAGUCUUUUCAUGUUGCUUAUACUCGAAAUGGUCAUCGAUCCAUUGUUUUUUAGUUGAAACAUGGCUUAUUUUUUUUCUUGAUUGGGCAAUUGUUCUCUGUUAGUUGACUGUACCUUUUGUGUUCAAUACUUGUUAUCAGACCAGCCUUUUAUGGGAUUCACAUUAUUUUAAUAAUGCAUUGUUGGUUUUUGAAGUUAAGAAGAAACAUUUUUUAUGGAUAUAGUUUCAAUUGCAUGGAUAUGAUCAUACAUGAAAACAAGAGGAGACUCAAGGGUAGUGGCGUGGUGCUCCUCUCUGUGUGUUGCCACACUGCUGUUGCUCCUCUCUUCUUGCCGACACAACCAAGGUGAGUUGGAAUGUAUUUCCAGGUUUUCAUAAAACGAGUUUCAGGUAGCCAAAGAAGGAACUGAAAUACAGUUACCAAUUAACAUGUAGUAUUUAAAUAUCAAUGCAUCAGCUAUCCUGUUGAGAGAAGUAGGCUUCACUUCUUUUUAUGAAAUGAGUUUCAGGUAGCAAAAGAAAAAACUGCUCUAUUGCAGUCCCAUGUAUCUGAUUGCUGCUAGCCCCGAUUGAGAAGUAGGCUUCACUUGUUUUUUUCAUGAGAAAUAGAGGUCUUUAGUAGUAACACUUGUCCGGUGCAUCAUAUUAUCAUCGAUAUAUAAUACUAAAUCUGGUACUUAAGAAAUAAUUGCUUUACCACUUUAUUGUUUGGUAGCAAACUGAAUAGCUGGUGUAACAAAAUGUUUGCUCUAAUGAAAUGUGUAAGCAAACCAUUGAGAUGCAGUGUUGCUUGUAUUUAUGUGGGACUGCAAUAAGGAACUUGCACUAAGAAAUUGCUCGCAGACAGGUUGCUGCUUCGAGAGAGGAUGGUGGUGCUUGUUUCUUGAUUAAUUGUUCGAGUAGCUAGCUAGGUGUGUUGGAUUUUACAUGAAUUUGUAUUUGCUGGAAUGGAGCUGAUUACAGAUGGGUUAUAUAUGCACUAGUCUGCUCAACACACAGUCUAUAGGUAAGCCAUUCGAUGAAAUGCUCUUAAACUCAUCCUAAUAGGUUCUGUGUUGGUUGUACCAUAGCCUACAUCAGUGAAGGACUAGGGGUUUCCCCUCCUUCCAGUUUUUAGCAAGUUGUGUUCACUGAAUUUUACUGUUACAUUUCUGACAGUUUGUACUAAACCUUUGAUUGGAGGCCUUUAAGGGCCUCAAAUUAAUUUUUGUUGUCUAGAGAGUUGACAUUGAUAUGUAGGGUGCAACCGUCUCCAAGUGAUCAAGUUCAUCAAGAACUCAUGUUACCUGGCAUUUCUUGGCCAUUUUUCUAUAAAUGUUUGGUCACUAUUAGGUUUACUUUGCUAAUAUACAAUAUAAUUUGCACUGAAAAGUAUAUACUAUUUCGUGCAGGAAAAUGGCCACCACCUCAUAAUUGUCGAGAAAGACACGUCAUGCUGGGUUGCAUAAGGCUUGGUUGAGCACGCGUCUGGCACUCAUCCAAAUACAAGGUAGUGGAACAUGCCAAAUUGUUAUGAAAGUCCAGAUGAGCCUCAAAUUAAGAUUUGCCAAAAUUAGUUAGCCACAAUGAAAGUGGUGUUUUUUGAACAUAAACUUUUAGUUUACUGCAUUAUUGGUUGUUUGAUUUAUAUUUAUAUUUAAAUGUCACCGUAGUGUUAGCACGGGCAAUAUACUAGCUAGUAAAAAAUAAUUGCACAGUUUGGUCGGAAUUGACGAGACGAAUUUUUUGAGCCUAGUUAGUCCAUAAUUGGACAAUAAUUACCACAAACAAACGAAAGUGCUACAGUGUCGCGAAAUUUUUCCUUCACGAAACCUAGGCAAAGUAGCUAGGCCACGGGAAGAAGCUAGCCGGCUGGGGCUGUGCACGAGGGAGAGAAGAACAUGGCUGGGUCGAUGGGCCGGCGAUGACUGUGGGUGUGGGCCAGAGAAGGGAGAGGCAGUGGGUUAUUGAGAACAGUGCGCACGCCGGCUGGGCUACCACUCGGGCCAAAAGAUAUAAGAGAGUGGGAGGAAACCAGAAAAUAGCUUUUCUUUUUUAUUUCAAAGCCAAAACAAAUCAAAACUGAGCAUGGUUUUGAUUUUCAAACCAAACACAAGCAUCAUAAAAUAUGUGCAGCCACAUGAAUACAUCAAACAAUGUCUAAAACUUAUACUUUUUUGAUUCUAAUGUUAUAAACGUUUAUAUUUUUAUAUUUUGAUGCACACAAAAGAGCAUAAUUAAAUGAAAUUAAACCUAUUUUCAGGAAUUUCAAAUUCUAGGUUGUUACACUUAGCGAUCUACAAAAGGAGUUGUCAAUCAUGCAUUGUCAUAUUUUUAUGCUCUUUGAAUUAAUCUAGGCUACUACAUGAUUAUAAAAUCUAACAGUGUUGGCGAAAUCUUGGCUAAAUAUGGGAGAGGCACGAGUGGCUUGGACCCACUUGUCAUUAGAUGGGAUGGCAUACAAAAGAAUCAUUAGUCUUUUUAAUAUUAGAUAGAGAUACAAAAACCAAGAUAGAGAUAUAAAGGUGAAGGUAAAUGUAUACAUAGAGAUGAUAAUAGAGAGAGAUAUAUGACUAGGAUCGGAGGGAGUAGUCAUACAUGUCUUGAAUUAUUGUACUCAAAGUGUCUUUUAUUGGUCCAAACUCCAAACUAAUAUAUAGGGUCUGUUUGGUAGAUCUCCACGCAUCUCUAAAAAGCCUCUUUGGCAGAGCUCCACGAAUCUCUAAAAAACAACUCUAUUCCUAAUUUUUUCAGCCAAAUGCUCUAGCUCAGUGAACUCUAGAUCUACAAAAAAAACAUAGAUCUAGCUCCCAGAUCCACCAAAUCCAUGCAGCACCUCAAGGGGUGCUCUAACAAAUCUAAUUUCAUGGAAUGGAUAAAAAUUAUCCACCAUGCCAUUAAUUAGUGGAACAUGAAUGGUUCAUUUCAUUUCUUUCCUUCUUCCUCACGACUCUUUCUGCCGCCGAGUGUUCCUUCCGGUGCUGUCCUACCACGGCCAUGGCCGUACCGCCCCAACUGGCACACAAGCCAUGUCAGGUAGUGGCAUGCCUUCCCCGGCUAUGGCAAGCUCCUCCCCAAGCCAUGGCCGUGCCGCGUCGAGCUCCUCCCCAGCCACGACAGCCCCUCCCAAGGCCACGACGAGCCUUCCCGGGCCAUGGCGAGCCUUCCCCGUCCACGGGAGCUCCUCCCCAGAGGUAGCUCUAGUGAGGGAGAGUUCACCUAACCCCGCUGUCGUCCGACCUCACUGGUUCAUGACCAGGCCGCAUAACCCAGCCUCGUCCUCGGCACUGGCCACCCGGCCCUAUCCCGCCCAUCCGUCCCAAUGCAAGCAUCGUCCACCUGGCCCCACCCCGCUUGCCCCAUCCUAGGCAUCGGCCGUGGGCCACUUGCGCUGCAUGUAUCUACCUAGGAUGCCCAGCUUGUGCCACGCAGGAGGAAACAAUAGAAGGAAGAAGAAUGAUUGUUUUUCAGUUUAGCCCUUGCUUAUGUUUCAAUAAUCAUGUAUGAGUCUAUGUUAGAGUUGAAGCUUUACCAAACAUUUUUAUGAGAAGUCAGCUCCAGAGUUGCUCCAUGGUGGAGCAUCGACUCCAGAGCUAUUUUUCAAAGCUAGAGCUUUACCAUACAAGCCCAUACUCCCCCGUAGUACGUCCUAGAGCUAGAAUAUAGUUAGUGUUAGACUUUUUUUUGUCAUAGAUUAAGGUUGCUCUGUUCUAUAAUAUAGUUAGCUUUAGAUUUUUUAGAUAGAUUAAUGAGCACUAUGCGAGAGAGCCUUUUUAGGUCGGCUCCUUACCGUUUGUAAGAGUAACUCCAAUAGCUUGGCUAUUCUUUUUGUGGAGGUUAUUUUAGAAUAUGUAUAACAAAAAUUAGACUCCAACAUAUAUGCUAUCUAAUUUUGUAAAGUAGAAAAUUGGCUUUUCCUUGAUUUUCGGUGGCUAUAUAUAACCAACCACAGGUGCUGGCUAUAUGACUUUGUAAAAUAAUAAGACUACUGUAGAUCUCUUCUUUUUAAGAAGUUUUUAUUUUAUAAAAUGACUAAACAAUGAAAUUUGACAACUAAUUUUAUCCAACCCAUUGGAGUUGCUCUAUGGGCAGUUGGGCUAGCUCCUCCUACUCAUUCGUCGUUAGGAGUCGCCCCCAAAAAAUGAUUUUUUAGAGGGGUUAGGUAUUUAUAGGGGCGGCUAAAAAAUAUGCCGUCCCAAUAAACCAUUUUCAGAAGUUAUAGAUUUGGACCAAAAAAUUGCAAAAAAAAGAAUCUUAACCUGAACAAACCCCACUAGCCAGUCAGACAUGCAUCACACCAGGCCUCCCGUCGCGUGAUUUUCUAGUCAAAGGCCCUGUUUGGCACGGCUCCACUUCACCAGUGAAGCUGUUUUUUAGGCUUCAGCUCCAUGAACACCUCUAUCAGAGGAGCUGGAGCCAUUUUGGUAAAUCAUUUGGCAAAAUAGCUCCUUCCUUAGAAUGUGCUCUCACAGAUUGCCACGUAGGAUGAGGUGAUGCCGGGAGAAGCCACUAUUUUUUGCUCCUUCGCAACCUAAAGCUCUGUGAGAGUACGUUUUUAGGGGCUUCAUUGGUGAAGCCAUUUUAUUUUACCCUGUUUGGCAGAAAAUGGCUCCUGAAGCCGCUGAAGAAGCCCUGCCAAAGGAUGCCAAAGCACGCAUUGCACAAGCAUCAGGGGACUCGAACCCCACAACCUCGCCCCUCAGGCAUUCCUUUCCUAACCACACCACCCAUAAAUAGAGCACUCCUCUCCUAAUUACUCCACCCAUAAAAGACUUUUGUCCAUUUGGGAUAUUCAUUUGCCUCAUUUUAUCUUGAUCUAAUUUUAAACUAAGUAUUUAGAACCCUAAAUAAAUUCAAACAAAAAAGUUAUCAACUUUUGAGAUGUACAACUUUUAUUUCGAUUGUUUCUUCUUUUGAGAUCAUUUGAGAAUUUUGAAUUUCAAAUGUAAGAACUUCAAACAUAAUUUUUUAUGGAUAGAUGAUUUCAAAUAAAAAAGUUAUCAACUACAACAAUGCAUAAUAUUUUGAGAACUACAACUUCCAUUUUAGUCAUUUGUCCAUCCAAGGUUGUUUGCAAAAUUUGAAUUUCAAAUGUGAGAACUUUAAAUGCAAUUUUCCAUGAAUAGGUGAUUUCAAAUAAAAAUAUUGUCAAUUACAAAGUUGCAUAUUUGAGAUCUACAACUUCUGUUUUGGUCAUUUAUCCAUCUGAGGCCGUUUGCCAAAUUCAAAUUUCAAAUGUGAAAAGUACAAAUGUAUUUUCCAUGUAUAGAUGAUUUCAAAUAAAAAAGUUAUCAAUUAGAAAGUCGUAUAACUUUUUGAGAUCCAUAACUUUUGUUUUGGUCAUUUCUUCAUAUAAGAUAGUUUAAAAAAAUUCAAUUUUUAAUACAUAAUUCUACUGUUUGGUGCCCAUCUACAUGAGACCAUCAGAUGAACAACACUCCUUGCCAUAUUAUUUGUUUGCGGCGCCAAUCUAAAAAGAAAAGCAAUAUAUUUGUUUGGCGGUUAUAUAUUUUUGUUUGUAUAGGGGAUAUUUUUUUACAGCAAGAGGCAUUUUUUAGAGACGACCCAUAUAUACCAUCAGAACUUAAAAAGACUAUAUUUAGGCAAAAUUUUCUAAAUAAAAGAUAUAAAUUGCUACUGCCUCCAUUCCAAAUUAUAAGUCAUUUUUGCUUUUGUAGAUACAUUGUUUUUGCUAUAUACCUAGACAUUAUGUUUAUAUCUAAGCACAUAGCAAAUAAAAACUAUAAAUUUAGAAAAGCUAAAAUGUCUUAUAAUUUGGAACGAGGGAGUAUAUUCUUGGCUGGAGUAUUUUUUUUAAUCCUAGCACAUGGUGUUACAUUGAAUUGAUGGUUUUAAUAAUUUAUUUUUUCUUUAAAUAAUGUUGGCAUUCUCGAGACUUUGUGAUAGAUAGCCAGAUAGAUAGGUAGGUAGAUAGAUAGACAAAUAUAGAUAGUUAGAUAGGUAGAUAGAAUAGAUAAGAUAAAUAGAUAGAUAGAUAGAUAGAUAGAUAGAUAGAUACUCACUACGUCUAUGAAAGAAUCAAUUCUUAGAGUUAUCAUAAAUUAAACUUUUAACUUUAAUUAAAUUUCUAGAAAAAGAUUCUAAAAUUAGUAUCAUUAAAUUUAUCAUAAAAUAUUUUAUAAGAUGUGUAUUUUAUGUUAUAAAUAUUAUUAUUCUUUUCUAUAAAGUUAGUCAAAGUUAAAAAAGUUUGUCUGACAUUGAUUAUAGGAAUUGUUUUUUUCAUGAACGGAGGGAGUAGAUAGAUAGAUAGAUAGAUAGAUAGAUAGAUAUACAUAUUUAUUUUUUUACUGUGGAGUAUAUAUAUAUUGUCCAUACGAUUCAUUGGUUGAUACGAGACACACGGCACUCAAACAAUCAUAUUGUUGGCAUUAGCUCUAAAACCUAUCACCCAUGGCGAAGUGUCAGAAGCACGUGAGCAUCCAAGCACUUUGGCUUCUUUCCAUGGUUCUUCUGGCAUCCUCAGUUGUUUAUGCACGCACAAUAAAUGGUUACUAAUGAAUUGUACCCAUUCCUUUUUUUGACACAAAUACAUCUACGUACAGUGAUGAUUCUGACAAAAUUAUAUGUAACUCUCGAUUUUUUAGGGCAAACCAAAGAGGACAUCAACACCAGGAGUGUGACGAUGAUGACAAGGUCAGCAAGCUCCAUAAUUGGUAGUGGCGAACAUCCAUUGAGAGGUACAUGCGUUGAGACACAUAAUGGAUGGUGGUUGUGCGGAAAAAUGCAGUUCAGGAAAUAUCAGGACUGCGCAGCGUAUUGCAGCAAGCACUUUGUUGGGAAUUCGGACUAAUAAGUGCUCUGUUAUCUAAUGGUAUUAUUCUUGAAGCCCUGGUGAACGAUGUAACACUAUCCUCAAAUCAAUAAAGUGUGCCAGAUCCAGAUGGUUUCUCUAAAAAAAAACUAUGGAAUUUUGCUC